rnacentral:lncRNA from 1 species
ACACAUUGAUUCAUGUAUCCAACAAUUACAUUAUAUAUGUAAUGUCACUUAACAUUGAACUAGGCACUUAACAUGACAAGUAUCAAUCUGCAGCAACAAGAGGCAAAGGUGAUCUGCCAGGGUAUAUGCAUGUCACUUGCUAAUUAUUUAAGUAGUCACUUUCUAAUUAGCAAUUUCAUAUUACAUGUCCCACUAACAUACUCAAAGUAAACCUCUUUGGUACUCGAUACAAGAGAAGAAGCUCAUGUAAUUGAUUAUCUUCUUGAAGGAAAUAUCCAAGUCAUUGGGUUCUGCCGUUUACCAACCAACAUACAGGUUUUUGGCAACAUCAGAGGAUCCCAAAGAACAACUAAUAAAUCACAUUCAGAAAUAGCAAAUUUGAAAUGAGAUGUCCAUCUGUUGUAUCUCAUUCCAAAGCACAAGAACAGAGGGGAAAUAAACUAAUAAGUCGAAGUUCUGUUCUCAACAAAACAAAGUAAGGCAUCGGUUCAAAUUUAAUCUACAGAAGGGUAAGUAAGUCUCUAGAACUCAGUUCCAAGCUGCAUAUAUAAGUUAACAGGAGAGAUAUCAUUUUGGUUCGAAAAAUAACCAAACUAGAUUCAGAGGUCUACUGAGCAAAAAGAAAUAACAAUGCAGUAAAUGACUAUGUGUGGAGAAGAAUACUAACCAUUGCAGCGACAGAUAUCUUUAAAGAGGAAAAAACCCAUCAGUUCAAGUUAACACAAAGAAGGAUCCCAUUUCCCAAGCAAACUAUGAUCCUGUUCACUCAUGCAUAUAUAUAUAUAUAUAUAUAUAUAUAUAUAUGCUCACUAUUUUUUAAAAUCAGAGCAUAACUGCAUUAUUCAGGUUACAAUAGUGCAGGGCUGCAAACUUAAAUGCUCAGUUUUAAGAAGAAACAAACACAAAUAUAAAUAAUGAAAUUGGCCGCAACUUUUUGGAUACUAAUGUAUUUUUUCCCUUGUUUUGUCUCCAUAGUUCCAAGCAUGGUCCAAUUAUAUUGGUCAUCAUUCUCAUGCUGGUAAACAGAAAAGAUAUUGUAAAACCAUAAUGCAUAGCAAUUAGAUUCUCCGAAAUAUCAAUCUAAAACAACAGCAACAUGUGAAACUAACUUAGUUUAGUUAUUUUAUCAAACCCAUAACAGGUAACAAGCACAUGUGCAACAAAAAGGUAAGAAGUUAAAAGAUAGUUGUAAAAAGGUAAUCACAUACAAAAGCAAUAUUUAUUUUCCCCACUAAGAUAGUUACAGAGUAGAUCAAAAACAAGUAUGGUCCAGUGCAGAACUGCAGACUCUUAUAUAUUUACUUGUAACUAGUGACGAUACAAACGCUUAUCUGAAAAAUUGGGCUAUCGAGUGUGAAAGGUGACAAAUAACCUACAAAUAAACUAAUAGAAGAAAUCAAAUGCAUUGAAGAGUGGAUUGAUCACUGAAGUGCAGUGGGGGGAAAAACUCUGUUAAGAUUCAUCGAGUGUGAUGAAGAUAACAGCAAGAAAAGACCAAGCUCUCCAAAUUGAAACUAAGAUAACAUAUCAAUACCUCAAAAAAUAAAGACAUGUUUGAAAGAGCACAACCAGAAGGACAGGGUACCUUCAUCUCAAAAAGAACAAAGUUUUUUUUUCUCAAUCGGGUGGUUAACCCGUAUUUCAUUAAGAGGAGCGUAACAACCUGUUACAAAGUUUAACCGUCAUCGGCGAGCAGCCAAUAAAUAGGCAGUAGCAACCUAACUACUGGAUACAAAUUUUGUUGUAAUUACAUUCGAUACCUUAAUCUCAAAAAGGACAAAGUACCUUAACAAACACCCAAGAAGGCAGCAUGCCGUCACCAAUAACCCAAGUAACUAGACCCUGAAUGUCCUGCAUUACAAGAAAAUGGCUCUUUACUAAACUACAAGAACAAGAAUAGUUUUCACGAGCCAAAUUUCAUUAAGCUUUUGUUAUGAACGAACCUACAGAUUUAAUGUAGUGUUUAAAGCAGCCUCCUUGAAAAUAACAUCAGGCUUCGCCUGGACAGGAUAAACAAGAAGAGACAGUAUGAGUUGGAAGCACAAAAAAUACGAAAAAAAAGACAGCUAUGAUGUCUAUGAGAAAAGUAAGCAGGCAGCAGCACAAGAAUGAUUCACCAGCAAGCACACAACUAACAGCUAACUUUUCAACUAAAUGAAGGUUUGAGAGUACACUAUUAAAUUAAUAAGUAGGCAGCAUGCCAUCACCAAAUCAUUAUGCCAUGCCGAUAGCUCUAGUACAAAGUACAAACAAGUGAUUUUGGAUUCAACUUAGAAAGUCCCUAAUUGAUGAGUGAUCCCUAAGUUGAUGAGCAAGCUCUGAAGUCUGAACACAGUACAGAUAGCACUGCUCCAAAUGCAGUAUCACUUUACUAUUCGAACAAGAGGAGCCGCACUUUGCUACCUAUCAAGCAAUCAAUCAGGAUUCACACCUUCGACAUUCAAGUAUAGAACUCCUAAGUAAACAAGCUACGAAAGUUUUCAAGCUGUGUCCAGUGUCCUUGAAAAAUGUUGAACCGGCUCAAGGUUGAUCAAUGGAUCAAUCCAGUAAGCCCUUGUAUUUAGUCUCCCAACCUAUCAGCUAUCCAUGACAUCCAUUUUGUGCAAUUUUGCUUUGAUGAAACAACAGAGCAAACUUAAUAGGUACAGUUCACGCCACACCAACAGUAGCAGCAUUUACACAAAAAUCCCACCUCACUACAAAUCCCAUGGUAAUUCAACGAACAUUGAUGCCAAUCACAGUCCCAUCAGUCGUGAUGCAAUGCAACACCCCCUGUUUCAAUCUCAGCAGAACUCCUACUCGAAGAAUUCCAACCAAUCAAAUUAACAUAUUCGUAGAUAAAACCAACCACCUGCAUGCUGCAGCGCCCAAUUUUGCCAUACAUCGGAGAUUUUUUAAAAAAAACACUAACAGAACAACAGAGAAUGCAAAAAAUGCGAUCUUUUUUCCAAUAACGGACCAACUCAGCUCAACUCGAUGACAAAUUCCCCUUCAUGUCACACCACGCCGAAACCUUAAUUUUCCGAGAGGGGACGGGGGAGCGGGAGGCGAAGAAGCAAGAGAGCACGUACGUUAGGGCCGUAUAAGUCGUAGAGCGCGGAGGAGGAGGAGGCGCCGCCGCCGUUGCCGUUGCCGGAAGGGGUCGACAUGGAGGCCACCGCCGCCGCCGAGGUGGAUGCCCUAGUGCUUCUGUGCCGCCGCCGACCUUGCGAGUGUCCUGCCUUCGGGACUCGAGUGUCGAGUUGGCGAGUCUGAGCUGGUUGCAUCGUGGCUGUGCGACGUGGUGAGGGCGCAAAGUAGAGAUUGGAAGGAGGAAGAGGACGGUGGUGCGGGCAGCCGGCGGGGGUGGCUAGCGGGGAGAGCGGCCGGCAGGGGCGCGCGGCGGGGCGAGCGGCCGGGCGGCGGCGCGAGCAGCUGAAGGGGCGCGCGGCGGGGCGAGCGGCGGCAGAUGGUAGAGAGAAAAUGAGGCUUUGGUGUAUUUGGUCUGUGUGAGUAGUUAGGGUUUACAUGACUUUUGGGCCAAAAUUUUUGCUGGAGUGGGCCAAAAAACGUCUCGCCAAUGGACACUAAUAUUUAGCAACGGAUGAUCCGACUUAGUUAAUGUAAAAUAGCGACGGAUGAUCCAACGCAAAAGUAAAAUAUUUAUAGCAACGGAUCAUCCAUCAAAGUAUUGAAUUUUAGCAACGGAGCAUCCGAGGGACAUGUUUAGCAACGGACUGUUCAAUGGUAAUUUUUAUCUUUAGCAACAGACAGCUGAUGCUGUUUUAGUGUUGUGGUAUAGUGUUAGGACUGUAUAGCAUUUAUCCAUGUGUACUAUGGGUAAAUGUUAAGUAUUGUGUAGGCAUGGUGCCUAUACCGUAUUUAUCCGCGAGUGUACCCUAUAUGCCGGAUCGUGGGGUGGUUCGCGGUGGUGACAGCUCCGUUGAUUGUUAUAUAGACCCCCUCCAGUGUAUAGGGUAGGCAGAGCAACAUUAUUACAGGGGAGUGAUUGCUAUGUUUCUCAUCUUCCUUGAUAAUAUCACUAUGCAUGGGCGUAAUCUUGUCUCGCAAUGAUUGCCAAGUAUAAUUGCACUAACUAUGGUAUGCUAGACUUUAUAGUUAAGAAUAACUUAGGAAAUAUUUUUGUAGUUCAUCCUAAUUCCAUGUUAAUGACUUUCUAGAAUAUCUGUUGUGGUGCUUAUCAUUAUCAUAUGUGGCUAGUUAUACUGAUCAGAAUAGUUAUCUUUGUCACCAUUCAUAUUUUAUCUAUAUUUUAUGUGACACUUACCCCUGUAUUGAUGAGAUAGAUGAAUGCUCUCUAUUACACAUGCAAUGAUACUCAGUUCCAUAUUUCAUACCAUCAUUAUUAGUAAUCACUUCCCAGUGGUAAAAAUAUAAAUAAAGAUACCUAGAAUACUUAUCGGUUAAAAUGCUACAUCGGUAUUAAUCUGUGUGCUUGCAGAUCUCAUUUAUUAUUUAUCUAGAUGAGCAAUUGUAUAUUUCAGUACCGCGUCUCUCAUGUCAUGUUGGGGAUGACAACUUGGCUUAAGUGGCAUGAAUGAUAGAUUUGGCAUUUUUGGCGCCGUUAUCAGAAAUAGAAAACUAAGCCUACUUUUGGUAAUGAAGUUAAGAAUGCCCAACAAGCAUUUUUGGCGCCGUUGCUAGGGACAGUUGAUUUACUAAUAGGAAUGAAUAAGGAAUAAUGAGUCAUCAUUCGCAUCACAAAUAUGAUUGGGAUCAUCAAUUCUAUCGUAUAGGUGUACCCCUGUAGUUUGCUAUUUUUAUUAUUUUAUGCAGGGUGAUGUAUGAAUAGAAACGAUCUUCCAGAUAAUUUCGUUGACGACCCCAAUGCAAUAAUCAGAAAAACAAGAGCCAAGCUCAAGAAAGUUAGAUCGUCAACACUUCAGCGUAAAGCUCCAUCAAAUCAAGAAGAUCACUGAAGUUUCAUUCAAAACUUGACAUCAGAGUUUGAAGCCAUGGCGAACAAGUCAAUCUGUGAGUUCUCAGCUCCCACCACGGACAACAUCCGCACUGGACCUGCUGUAGACAUUGACUGGACAUUUGAGCUCAAGCCUGGGCUCAUCAACAUGGUGCAAGCAAAUCAGUUAUGUGGGAAGGCACGUGAAGACGCUAGUGCUCAUCUCCAACACUUCCUGGAGAUUUGCAGCACGUUCACCAUUAAAGAUGUUCCUAGAGAUGCCAUACUACUUCACCUCUUCCAAUUCUCACUGUUGGGGAGAGUGAAUCAGUGGUUCUAUGCAACAAAGGAGAAGAAUACUAUGUGGGCACUCUGCUCCACCAAUUUUCUAGCCAAGUUCUUUCCCAUGGGCAAGACCAAUGCUCUCACUGCUGCAUGAUCGGGCAUUAGAACCGGUCGGGAAGGGCCUGUUGCCCCGGUUCCCAAGCCGGUGCUGCCCUUCCGGGACUCAGGACCCGCCCUUUACGCCCAGUUCGGGGAUCCGGGGUUAAAACCCCCCCCCUGUUAUACACGGGUUGGUAAUCCCAACCGGUGUUCAAGGGUCCGGCCAGGGGGGCCAAGUCGCAGGCCCCUUUAACACCGGUUGGUAUUACCAACCGGUGUUAAAAGGGUUUUUUUUUCACUUCUUCGGUUCUGUUUAUUGUUUUUAUAUAAUAAUAAUAGGUUUUUCAAUACAUGUUUUUGCUGAUACAAUAAUAUAUUUAUAUUACACGCAUAUUAAGCAUAUAUAAAUGAAAAUUAUAGGCUUAGCUUAAUAAUAAGCUUUGCCUAUAAUAAAAUGAAUAGGCCACAUCAAAAAUUAAAUAGAUAUGUAAAAAGCCUUAUAUAUUGUUUUAUAUGUACAAAAUUCGUAACACAUAUAUACAUAGAGUUUUUUCUCCCAAUGUCUACAAACGAUACAAAUGAUCAUCAUUGUUUGGAAUAAGAAUUUCGUUGCCGUUGAAGUGAAACUCGCCGUUUGGAUUGAUCACUUGCUCGCGAAGAAAUCCUGCUAUCGUUUCUUGGAUAGCUUUGAUUCGGUCUUUUUGUAUGACCUUUUCCCUCAACCAUUCCGUCUUUAAUUUGAAAUAAAUAAAAAAGGUAUUAGUUAUCUAAGUUAUUCAAUAUAAUUCAGGAGAUAAUGAAAAGAGACAUGUAACGUACUUUGAGCGGCUCUGUGGGUGUUUGAUUGACUUGUGCCAUCAUGAAUUUGCACACGUAAUAUGCACAUAGAUUGUUUCCCCUUCUUGUCUUAAACACCACUGUACGAUAUAUAUAUAUAAAAUAUUCACGACCACGACAAUAAGAAGGCUAAAAGUUAGCGAAAGUUUGCUAGCUAGUAGAACUUACUUGUGGAUGUAUUAUGUUAAGCGGCGCUUUACAUCCACUGAGAUGUUCACGGUCAAUGAAUCUUUCCCAAACGCUACACACAGCCAUUGUGGAUCGUGAACUAAUAAUUAUAGAGUCAUAUUAUGAUAUUAUUCUAGCUAAGAUCGACAUUACGUACCUGUUGAUGCAAAAGCUGGAUCUGCAAACACAAAGGGCUAAUACCCGAUUCAAACGUUAAGGCGUGCCAGCCGAUUUGACCUUACAAUCGGCAAAGUUGUAACUCGAAUACUUUGGUCCUGACAACAGCGAUGCGCCUAGAUGUCACGGCCAAAAGGUAUUCACGCGGAACUCGAGAAUACGCCGAACUUAAGUCGACGAACUCCUAAGAACUCGUAGUAAAAAGAAAAAAGUAUGACGAAGUCGUCGAAAAGUAGAUGCUGGAAUAUAAGUGAAAACUUGUGUUUGAUUGAUUGAUUCGUUCAUAUUACAAGGCCCUAGGGUCUACAUUUAUACCCUGCUCAAAGAGCUACAAUCAGACACGACUAAGACUCGAAUUCCAAAUUUAACAGAAUCCGUAUACAAAACGAAUUUAAACGACUAAGGAAAACAUAAAACUAUCCCCUUGUAACCGACCAGGACACCGCCACGGGUCAAUCGGCAACUCCCACGGAGCCAUCGGCAACCUUCCUCAUCGGCAACUCUUCUACAGUCUAGUUACCGUUGCUCUGCCUGCCGAUCUUGUACCCUACUGGUUCCUGUGCACGUGUCAAAAAAUGGUGUCAACACAUGCCCCCCAGUUUUAGAGUAUGAAAUCCUGAAUGCUCCGAAAUUCUCUGCAUUAAUGACGCCUUUCCGCAAUUAAUCUUCCCAAUUUGGCAACCGACUAAUAAAUCCGAACAACUUUGGCCCGAUUCUUUCGCAGACUCCUAGAAUUUCUCAACCUCCCAAACCAGAUAGCGGACAUCCCCACUUUAUUCGCCCAUCGGCAAUAUGGUCGUUGGAGGAAGCUGCCGAUGGACCGACCAGGAAAUCCCGCACAGUGAAAUAUCUCCAGAUCAUGACCGCUUCGUGUCAAAUCGCCUGCACAAUCCCUUGAUUACCGUGCGAACAGUUACCAUAUCUACCAGAGUAUUCUCGGAUUUCACGGAUACGGCGAUGAGAUAAGUCAGAUUUGCCCUUGCCCAUUUUGUCCUAUAAAUAGUUCCUUCUCGAGUACUCCUUCUCCAUCGCAUCAUUCUACAGCCCCAACUCUGCUUUUCUGGCAACGGCACUGCUCGAGAGCCCCAAGAACUCCAACGAAGGCCUUUCUCCACCAACCCCAAAGUCUUCGAUUGUCUUCCCUGCGAGGAUAUGGCCAUCAACUUUGCUAUUCCUGAGGUCAGUUCAUCACCCCAUCUCUCCUGUAUUUUCACCGCACUCCUGUUCAUUCACAGUUCAUCUUACUGAAUACCUUUUUUCUUUUCUCUUUUGCUCUUCUUUCACCCCCAAAAACCUCUAGGAUCUAUCUAUAGAAUCGUCGUCCAUACCGAUCAACCACACCUCCAAUGUCUCGGUCCACUAGGGAACCCAGAUCCUACCGAUCUGAUCAACGCAGAGACAAACAGAAUCCCCUUUAGAGCCGAGAACUUCUCUCUAGAUCUGUGGAAAGACGCCUUCCAUUCCUGGCCCAGUAUCUCCAAUCCCAGUAGAAUCAUCCCCUUCUUCUCCAAAAGCCCAGACACAGCAAAUUCCUUCUCCUCCUCAGCCACAAGGAGAACCUCAAGUGGAAGAGCUCCAGCCAGAAGAACCUCAGCCAAAAGAAGUAUUGGUUGAUGUACACGAGCAGACUGCUGACCCAGCAAGUCUAACCAUAGCAUCGAUAGCUUCUUCGGUCCAGACGAGUACUGCAUCCCCUCAAGGUAAUAUAUUUUCCAUUUAUUGCCGAUGAACCUAUUUCUCCACUUUACCUAAUCACUUCUAUCAAUCUUUUCAGCUGACAUAGUCUCAUCGACGAUUCCAGCCAAUCAGCCCGUGGUUCCAUCGGCAUCAUCCAGUCAGAGGCGAGAGAUGGCCCUGAAGCAAGUAAGUUACCCAAUCUCUACAUGUAUCGUUUACCAAUGCUUGAUCAUAGAAUAACUUAUUUUGUUUAUUCUCUUUCAGGAACAGGACUCCUCUGACAGCUUGUUCUCCUUUGCCAUCGACAUCUCUGAAGAUGAAGGCGAGGAGGCAAGUUCUUCCUGAGCAGUUGGAAUCACAUCGGCAGAGAUCAGGGCAAAGUUAGAAGAAUUAUCAGCCCUCCUUCAUCAAGACACAGCCCAACUGGUUGAUGACUCCAACUCGGCCAAGGCCUUGUUCAAGACCCUCAGAGGCCAAAUUCCUGCUGAUGCUGAAGAAAUCAUUUUUCAAGCUGCACAUCUAGAGAGCCGUCAGCUGCAAUAUCAAAAGGCUACCCAGCGUCUUGUCGAUAGAGCUGCUCAGGCUCAGCUUUCUGAGGAGAUGAUGAAAGUGAAGCUCCUUGCCGAUGAGAAGCACAAGAACAUCGGUAUCUUGAAGUCCUCAGGAGAUGCGCUGAAGCACAAGAUCUCUGAUCUAUCGGCAAAAAGAGAAGCCCUGUUGGCAGAACUCAAGCAAGUAGAAGAAGCCUUGUCCCAAGCUCAACAAGAGGAAGGCCAGCUGCCUGAGGCGAUCAAACUUCUUGAACAAGAGCGAAAUGUCCAUGGCCGCAAAGCGUUGCAGAUGAAGAAGAAGCUGAAGCCAGUGGAGGGCUCUACCGAUGAUGACGUGAAGGAGAUAGAAGAAGCCAACCAGAUCCGUCUCCACGCCAAAUCGACGAUCCAGGCACCGUUGAACAUGUGAACUCUUCAUCGGCGGCGUUCUUUGCUUCUUCAUUCUAACCAUUUUGGUCUAGCCGAUAGGACUGUUAUCGACAUCUGUUUAAAACAUUAAGUCCGGUCCCAGAUACAGUUUUAAUCUAGCCGAUAGGAAUGUUAUCGGCACUUAAUCUCUCAUGCAUCGACCCAUAUGCUCGGGUAAUACUUCUUUAAAUAUUUGCCAUUUAAUGCUCUGGGAAAUUCAACUCCUUCGAGAGUUUCCAAGAUAUAAGCGUUGCCAGGAGCAGAUCGAUUUAUCCGAUAAGGACCUUCCCAAUUAGGAGACCACUUCCCAAACUUUGAACUUUUAGUCCCGAUCGGUAAGAUUAGUUUCCAUACUAAAUCUCCAUCGGCAAACUCCUUAGCCUUCACCUUCUUAUCAUACCAUAUAGCAACCCUCUCCUUAUUUUCUUCUAUACUUAUCAGAGCUCUUAGCCGAUGUCCUGCUAAAUCAUCCAAUUCGUCUGUCAUCAAUGUAGCAUAAUCAUCGGCAGCCAAUUGAUCCUGAAAAGAUAGUCGUCUAGAUCCAGUCUUAACCUCCCUAGGUAGCACUGCAUCGUGCCCAUACACCAACUGAUAAGGUGAAACUUUGGUCGAUCCAUGACAAGCCAUCUGAUAGGACCAUAAAGCUUCAUUUAACAACGUAUGCCACCUCCUAGGAUUUUCUUCGAUUUUUCGCUUAAUAAGCUUGAUAAUUCCUUUGUUAGACGCCUUGGCCUACCCGUUAGCUUGAGCAUAAUAAGGAGAAAAUUUUAAUACUUUGAUUCCCAUACCGAUUGCAAAUUCAUCAAACUCUCCUAAUGUAAACAUGGUACCCUGAUUGGUAGUAAUCGUUUGAGGAAUCCCAAAUCGGUAAACAAUAUGCUCUUUCACAAAAUCAAUCAUAUUGGCCAAUGUGACUUUCUUGAAAGGAAUAGCUUCAACCCACUUGGUGAAAUAAUCGGUAGCAACCAAUAUAAACUUAUGUCCUUUGCUAGAUGGCGGAUAAAUCUGACCGAUUAGAUCAAUAGCCCAUCCCCGGAACGGCCAAGGUUUAAUAAUAGGAUUCAUGGCCGAUGCGGGUGCUCUUUGAACAUUGCCAAACUUCUGACAUCCUUGACACCCCUUGAAAUAUUUAAAGCAAUCUUCAAGUAUGGUUGGCCAAUAAUACUCAUUUCUCCUAAUCAUCCACUUCAUCUUAAAUGCCGACUGGUGUGCUCCACAGACUCCUUCAUGGAUUUCUCCCAUCAAACUUUUAGCUUCAUCUUCACCCAAGCAUUUGAGAAGAAUCCCAUCAAUUGUUCAAUAGUAUAAUUCAUCUCCGAGGAGCACAUACUUGGUGGCUUGAAACCGAACAUGUCUUUCAACUUUCUUGGAUGGAUCCUUCAAAUAAUCAACGAUUUCUUUUCUCCAAUCAUCGGCGCUAAUUGCCGAUAUCGUAUUCAACAUGAGCUGGUAUCCCGAGGCAUGUUGAGCCAACCGUUGGCCUCUUCAUUAUGCAACCGAGGAACAUGCUCUAAUCGGAAAUCCUGGAAUUACUUUAACAACUGCAUACUCCUCUCGUGAUAAGUUAUCAGGACUUCGCUGCGACAUUCAUAGCUUCCAGCCAAUUGAUUUAUAACCAGCAUAGAAUCCCCAAAGACUUCAACAGUGUCAGCAUGAACUUCUCUUAAUAGUUCCAACCCUUUUAUUAAAGCUUGAUAUUCGGCUUGAUUAUUUGUCGAUGUGGCAGCAAUCGGCAAGGAUAACUCAUAUUUCCUUCCCCGAGGGGAAAUUAGCACUAUGCCGAUUCCUGCCCCCCGGUCACACGUGGAUCCAUCAAAGAAGAGCGUCCAAGACACAAUUUCCAAAGUUUCCACUGCACCACGAUGUUGAGUCACAAAAUCGGCCAUGAUCUGUCCUUUAACCGCUUUAGCCGAUUCGUAACGCAGAUCAAACUCCGAUAGCGCCAAAAUCCACUUACCGAUCCUGCCACUCAUAAUCGGCAUAGACAGCAUAUAUCGGACCACGUCAUCUUUGCAUAUAACAGUGCAUUCGGCCGAUAAUAAAUAGUACCUCAACUUAAUACAUGAGAAAUAUAGACACAAAUAUAACUUUUCAACAGCCGAAUACCUGGUUUCAGCAUCAAUUAACCUCCUACUUAAAUAAUAAAUUACACGCUCCUUCCCUUCAAAUUCAUGAAUGAAAGCUGAACCGAUGACCAUUCCAUCGGUAGACAAAUACAAUCUGAAGGGCUUUCCUUGCUGGGGUGGAAUCAGAACCGGAGGAUUCACCAAAUAAUUCUUGAUUUCAUCUAGGGCCAAUUGUUGCUCUUUUCCCCAUACGAAUUCUUGAUCGGCUUUUAAUUUGAGUAAAGGACUGAAAGCACGGAUUUUACUAGACAAAUUAGAUAUAAACCUCCUGAUAAAAUUUACCUUGCCGAUCAAGGACUGGAGCUCGGUUUUGUUGGUAGGAGCAACUAUUUUGUUGAUAGCAUCAAUGGAUCUUAUACUAAUCUCAAUCCCUCUCUGAUGCACCAUGAAACCAAGAAAAUGUCCUGCCGAUACACCAAACACACACUUAUUAGGGUUCAUCUUUAAACCAUGCUUCCUUGUGCAUUCCAACACCUUUCGCAAAUCGGCAAGAUGUUUUGUAAAAUCUCCAGACUUAACCACCAUAUCAUCGAUGUAAAUUUCCACCAGCUUGUCGAUGAACUCAUGAAAUAUAAAAUUCAUGGCUCUUUGAUAAGUAGCACCAGCAUUUUUCAAGCCAAAGGUCAUGACUAUCCACUCAAACAGCCCAACAUGACCAGGACAUCUAAACGCAGUCUUUGGAAUAUCCUCUUCAGCCAUGAAUAUUUGAUUGUAUCCUGCAUUACCAUCCAUAAAACUGAUGAUCCGAUGUCCAGCCGCAGCAUCAACCAGCAGAUCGGCAACCGGCAUUGGAUAACCAUCCAUCGGCGUAGCUUUAUUAAGAUUCCUGAAAUCAAUGCAAACUCGAAGCUUUCCAUUUUUCUUGUAAACUGGGACCACAUUGGAAGUCCACUCGGCAUACCGACACUGCCGAAUAAAUUUAGCUUCAAUAAGUUUGGUUAUUUCGGCCUUAAUAUCAGGAAGAAUAUUAGGAUUACAUCGGCGAGCUGGCUGCUGAUGUGGCCGAAAUCCAGACUUAAUAGGUAACCGAUGUUCAACAAUUGAUCGGUCCAAACCAGGCAUCUCAGUAUAAUCCCAAGCAAAGCAAUCUUUAUAUUCCUUUAACAAAUCGGUUAACUGCUGCUUACACUUAGAAUUUAACUUAGCACUAAUAAAAGUAGGUCUAGGUUUAUCUCCACUACCUAUAUCUACCUCUAUUAAAUCAUCGGCCGAUGUGAAUCCCUGGCCUAAUUUUCCAUCAUCGGCGAACCUAUCCAUUGAAACUCCUCAUCAGAACCGAUUGCUUGGAUCGGUGGAAUUUCAUAAUCGGCGACUUUGAGGAAAUCCUUCUCCCAAAUCUCUCCUGAGAUGCACCUAGUCCUUUCAUAAGUGUCCGCCUCUGCCGAUGCAAUAACAUAGGAAGAGUCACCCGGCCGGGACAAUCUCAAUCUUGUCACCUACCCACUGGACCAAGCAUUGGUGCAUUGUAGAUGGGAUGCAACAAUUGGCGUGAAUCCAAUCUCUCCCUAGCAGCAAAUUGUAGGCACCUUUUCCGCUGAUCACGAAGAAAGUUGUCGGCAAAGUUUUGCUGCCGAUGGUCAACUCAACGCAUAUCGCCCCCUUGACCGGAGACACAUUCCCUUCAAAAUCUUUCAGCAUCAUAUCGGUCUUGGUCAAAUCUUGAUCUCCUUUUCCAAGUUUCUGAUAGACUGCAUAUGGCAUGAUGUUGAUAGCAGCCCCUCCAUCAAUCAAUAUCUUGGUCAUUGGCUGACCAUCAACUCUCCCUUUUACAAACAGAGCUUUAAGAUGCUGUCUUUCAUUAUCGGCAGGCUUUUCAAAAAUGGCUGUCAUCGGAUCUAGAGCCAACUGAGCUAUCUUGUCGGAAAACUCCAACCCCUCAUCAUCACUGGAUGGCGCAAGGAAUUCCAUCGGCAACAUAAAUACCAUGUUGACACCUGCCGAUUGUCCUUUCCCCUUAGGAUCUGAUUGUUGCUGAUCCCCAGGCUGGCUAGAGUUCUCACCCUUGCUUAGCUCCUCACGCCUUUCGCGCUGCAGUCUCCUUUUUUUGUCUUAGUCAACCCCUCUGGACACCAUGGGGGAAGAGGCGACUGCCUUGCCAACGGACGACGAUGUUCUCUUGACUCCAUCCGAUGAGUAUUAGCAUCCCUGCAAAAUAUGAACUCAUCUGGAACUCGUGCAUUAGCCAUCUCUUCAAGCUCUUCCCGAUUCCUGGGAAAAUAUUCGAUACGAUCACCAAGCCUAUCGUGCACACUGAGCGUGCCCCCCAGCCGAUCAUGAACCGACGCUCUCCCCCUAAUCGGCCCAUUAAAUCGCCGAUCAUCAUCGUGGUAGCGCCGAUCAGACCUGUCAUACCGAUCAUAGCCAUUGCACUCAGGGCAAUCCCCAACAGUGGGCAGUUUAAUGUUCUGCUCCCAGCAAUGGAUAAAGAAUGGACAGUUCCAGUGAUCCUUGUGCCGAUUCCACUCCCGUCGGCGUCUUUCUUCUUCCCGACGAUAGUCUUUUUGCUGGCGCCGAUACCGAUCCUCCCGUUGCUGCCAGGUCUCCCGAGGUCUUCUAUGAGUUAUCACAAUACCGGAUCGUGGAGGCCUUCCUGAGUUGGAUCCUUCCUGGAUCAAACCUUUUCCUUUGGCAUCGGCAGCAGUAAUCUGAUGCUGGGGAUCCACCGAUGAACUCCUCUCAGCUGCUUCCGAUGUCAAGACCUUGGUUUUCCCCUUAGCAUCUAGCAUAUUUGUUGGGAAAGGAUGUUGAUCGAUCUUCAUCGGCUUCUGGGCUUUGGAGCUAUCAAAUUUGAUUCUCCCAGACUCUAUAGCCGAUUGCAGCUGUUGUCUAAAAACUUUGCACUCAUUGGUGCUGUGAGAAGUUGCAUUGUGCCACUUCCAAUAUUUCAUCUUCUUCAACUCUUCAGCCGAUGGGAUCACAUGAUUGGGUGACAACUUGAUCUGGCCUUCCUGAAGUAGAAAGUCAAAUAUCCUAUCGGCUUUAGUGAUAUCAAAUGCGAACUUUUCUGGCUCUUUAUGUCCAAAAGGGCAGGACAUCGGCUUUUUGUUUUUCACCCAUUCUGCCAAGCCGAUGACUGGCUCUUCAUCAGAAUCUGAGCUUGCUGCUUCAUCGACAAAAGACACCUUUUUAUUCCAUGCUCUCUUGGGCUCAAAAGGUCUGACGUCCUGAUCAGAAAUCCUUUGCACCAAAUGACUUAAGCUCUCAAACUCCUGAGAGGCGUAUUUGUCCCUGAUGUGCGGCAACAAACCCUAGAAAGCCAAAUCGGCAAGCUACCGAUCGUCCAAGACCAGACUAUAACAUUUGUUUUUAACCUCCCGUAUUCUCUACACAAAACUUUCAACCGAUUCAUCUUUGCGUUGCUUCAAUUUGACCAAAUCGGUGAUCUUCUUCUCAUGGACUCCAGAAAAGAAGUACUUGUGGAAUUGCUUCUCUAGAUCGGCCCAAGUAAUCACUGAGUUAGGAGGUAACGAUAUAAACCAAGUAAAUGCCGAUCCAGACAAUGAUGACGAGAACAGGCGAACCCUUAACUCGUCCCUAUUAGCAGCUUCUCCACAUUGGAUGAUGAACCUAUUGACAUGUUCCAUGGUUGAUGUAUCAUCCUGUCCAGAAAACUUAGUGAAAUCUGGUACUUUGUACCGAUUUGGGAGUGGAAUUAAAUCAUAUGCAGGAGGAUACGGUGUCCGAUAAGAGUAAGUGUUGACUUUGGGUUUUAUCCCAAAUUGGUCCCUCAUCACUUCAGCGAUCUUAUCGGCCCAAUAAGCAUCGGCAUCUUGCCGAUGAGGUGGUUGUGGAUCUGGCACCUGUUGAUAAGCUUUCACGUGUCUGUGCAGUGCGCGAUCUGCAUGGAACAUUGGGUUAAUCACCUGGCCACCAAACUGCUGGCCGAGAUUCAUCGGCUGGUUGACCAAUCCUUGAUUCUGGAACCCAGGUUGGACUUGGCCCUGCUGAAACCCGAUAGCCUGACGAUUCUGCUGUGGAAACACAAAUUGCCCAGGCCAUCCAUUAUUAACAUUCAUUGGCAUAGAACCUGCUGAUGACUGGUAAUUGGGUAUCGUCAUCGAAUUGACAUACCCUGACUGAGUCAUAAACCUCUGUUGCGUCGGCAUUGAAUCUGCCGAUGCGUUAGGCAUGUGGAACGUUGGAGCUUGAGAAUUCCCAAUGUAAGGUCUCGCAGUAGUAGUUGUAGUAUACUGCGGACUCUGAUUCAUCGGCAUAUUUGGAGGUGCCGAUGCCAUAGGAGCAUUGCCUCUCACAUCAGCCGUCUGAGAUACGUUUGUCUUCGACGUCAACUCUGGAGGCAUACCGUAACCCCACCAGUUAGGAGGAGGAACCGAUCCCGACAUCGCCGACACCAAUAAAUCUGUAGCAAGCUUGAUCUGCCCAUCUAAAGUGGAUGGAUUGGUUAGCAUCGGUGUAGAUUGCGCAUUAGUAACUCCCAACGUGCUUGGAGGAACAGUAGUUUCUGCGCCCGCAACGGUUGUAACAGCCGAUGGAGCUGUAACUUCUGGUGAUCCCGGCUGAUGAUAGACAGGGCCCACAUAAUUUGGUGGCAAUUGUCCUUCUUUGAAAGUUCUAACCACGGCAUUGAAAACCGUAUUGGACAAUAUACCAGCUUGAUUGAUUAAGGCACGGUUAAUAGCGCCGUCAACCAUGUCUUGGAGUUUACCAGGAUUGGCGUCGAAAGUAACCUACCGAGGUGCCGGCAGUGCCUCCUUCUGGAUCACCUCACCGCUCCUGUUUAUGCUGAAGGAUUUCAAACAUUGCUGCUUGUAGUCCUCCAUGGCUUUUGCAAUAGCUUGCUUCUGCUCAUCUUUGAGACUGGCUUCUGUCACCGGGAUGACGUUCUCUAGAUCGAAUUCAGUAGUCGACAUGUUGAUCUUGAUCUUGGAUCUUGGUCCCACCAGGCGUGCCAAAAGAUAUGUUGAUGCAAAAGCUGGAUCUGCAAAUACAAAGGGCUAAUACCCGAUUCAAACGUUAAGGCGUGCCAGUCGAUUUGACCUUACUAUCGGCAAAGGUGGUAACUCGAAUACUUUGGUCCUGACAAUAGCGCUGCGCCCGGAUGUCACGGCCAAGAGGUAUUCACGCGGAACUCGAGAAUACGCCGAACUUAAGUCGACGAACUCCUAAGAACUCGUAGUAAAAAGAAAAAAAGUAUGACGAAGUCGUCGAAAAGUAGAUGCUGGAAUAUAAGUGAAAACUUGUGUUUGAUUGAUUGAUUCGUUCAUAUUACAAGGCCCUAGGGUCUACAUUUAUACCCUGCUCAAAGAGCUACAAUCAGACACGACUAAGACUCGAAUUCCAAAUUUAACAGAAUCCGUAUACAAAACGAAUUUAAACGACUAAGGAAAACAUAAAACUAUCCCCUUGUAACCAACCAGGACACCGCCACGGGUCAAUCGGCAACUCCCACGGAGCCAUCGGCAACCUUCCUCAUCGGCAACUCUUCUACAGUCUAGUUACCGUUGCUCCACCUGCCGAUCUUGUACCCUACUGGUUCCUGUGCACGUGUCAAAAAACGGUGUCAACAGUACCUUUGAAUAAUGUUUACUAUUUGUUGAUAAUUUUCUUGUGGUUUUCUCAUUGAGUCAAAUAUUAUCAACCGGUUCUUAGGAAUUUCAAUGACCAUGAGUAUCCAGUGAAAGCUGUUUACACACACAUAUAUAUAGUCAGGCCUAUAUAUAACUAUAUAAAACUUGUCUCGGCUAAUAAUUAUUAAAAUAAAAUAUGCAUGCAGUUAAUAACUAUAUAACUCACUCGAAGUUGAAGGGGAAGAGUAAUUUUUGUUUUUCUUUUUGGUUCACAAAGAACCUCAUAAGAUUGGUGCAGACUUCUGUCUCAUGAGCUGCUGUCCACACUGCCUGCGGAGCUUUGAAAACAAUAUAAGGGUCAACGAACCCAAUAUUAUUAUCAUUUCUGAUUCUGAGCUCUCUCAUUUGGUGCCUGCAUAUAUACAUACAAAUCCUAAGUGUGUAAGGAUUAUAUACAUGUAAUUAAAGAAGUUAGAAGUAUAAUAAAAAGAAAAAAAUACUUACAGACAAAAGCAGCUGACAAGAGAUUUGUCGAGAGCAUCGAGGUGACAUAAUUGGUGCAAUUCUUUGAACUGCACGUAUAUGAGGUCAUCUCCAUGGAAGUAGUGAUGUUGUCUAAUACCAACAGAAAUCCAAUUCUCUCCCCUUUUAGACGCCUCAAUGCACCAUUUGUUUAUUGCAAACAUUUGUGUGCCGAGCUCGUGUAAACGCUGAGGGUCGAAUAGACUCCUGCCCGGUUCAUAUCUUACCCUCCAUUGAUCAACUACCUCGGCUUUUUCAAAUGUUUGGCAUCCAAGAAUGGCGGCAAUUUCUUCCAUAUUUAAAUCGCUCUGUCCAAAGUAACGCUCAAGCGAGUCUAGCUCAGACAACGCUAAGGAUUUCUUUGGCAUCAAGUCUUCAUUUGAGCCGUAUUGAUUUGGCACAAUCAAAGGGGGCACUGGUUUUGAUACUUCUCCGAGCUGUGGGACCCCCUUUCCUACUCUCUUCUUAGACUGUGAAGACUUGACCAGAGACAUCUCAUAGUCCGAAAGUGCUGGCUUUUUCUGAGCUUCGCGUUGCUUCUUUUGCUGGUCCGCCACCUUCUGCCUCAGUUCCGAUGGCUUUACAUAAAAGUACGGCUUUUGUGGGUUAAGCCGUUUUUUUCUAUCCUCCUUCAAUUUAUCAAAAAAUUGUUUCACCUCAGCUUUGGAUGCAGCAAUUACCUCCUCUUCACUCUGUUCGUAAGGUAAUUUUUCUGGUGUCUUAGCUCUCUUUGCUGAGGCAGCCUUCUUUGUAGGUGGGACCGAUGACUUCGGUCGUUCUUGGGCGGACCGCUUCUGACUACCUCGCUUUGGAGGCGAGGGGACCGACCGUGCACUCUUUGGAGAGGGCGGUGCAGGCGGUGGAGGUGGUGGGGCCGAUCUUUUCGGCGUUGGAAAACGCGGUGGAGUUGGAGACCUCGGUGGAGGAGGUGGAGACCGUGGUGGAGGCGGUGGCGGGGUCGGUGUGGCCGCCGCAGGUGUUGGAGGAGAUCCAGCAUUGUCACCGUCCGCAGCAGUAUGAUGCGCUGGGGAGAGAACUGGACUUAGGUUGGAGGAGUCCCUGCAAAGAAAACAAUUACAAGUUUUGUGAGCAAACUUUUUUUUAAUUUCAAUACAUAAUAAAUAAUAUAAGAAGUAAAAUCACACACAAACCUAUGUUGAGGAAUAAUUAUGAAGCGCUUGCGCCAACAAAUAAAUGUCUUCUCAGCUUCACCUAAGGUCUUCUCUCCGUCUCCCCCUUAUGUCUAGAGGCACAUUGCCACAACCUUUCUCAACCCUAUCAACCGAGACGCUAGCAUAUCCACCAGGUACUGGUCGAUUAUGGAUUCUUGGAGUUCUCGUUCGGUCGAUAGGGUUGACAACAGCGAUAGCCACGUUUUUUGUUGCAUUCACAUCUGGUACAUGGAGCUCACAGGUAGUAAAAGCCUCUGUGACAUCAUCCACGGGGAAGUGUAGCUUCGUGUCAUCUUGAAUGGUUGGUACUUCCGUGGAUGCGCAGCUGCUUUUCAACAAGCCUGGGAGGCUAACGUUGACCUCAGGCUGUGAUGUACCUUGCCCUUUUGUCAUUUGACUAAGUGCUGCUUGCACUUGCCUUUGAAUCUCCGCCUGCAUCCAUUCUUCACGAGCUUUCUCGCGCUCUUCUGACUGCAGAACAAAAGCUUCCAGGCGGCGGAUCCACUCUGCCUCCUCAUCCUUCUUUCUCUGGCGGCUUCUGUAGCUAUCUUGAUCGGCUUGGAAUGAUUGCAGCCACGGAACUGCCCCAUAGCCUCUCGUACGCCCACCGUGCUCAGGAUUUUCAAGCGCAUAGGUGAGUUCAUCCUUCUCCCUGUUAGGCCUGAACUCACCAGACUGAACCGCCUCUCGUGCACGGACUAGUCUCUCUGCUGCUCUUGAUAUUUCUUGGCCCCAAACUAGCGCCCCGGUGUCUGGGUCCACACUUCACCCAUGACCGUAGAACCAAUGCUUGGAGCGCUCGCUCCAAUUCUUUGCUAUUGUCUCGGGUGUGACCCCCUAGCAAGCAUCUCCUGUUCCAUUCGGUCCCACUUGGGAACAGCACUCUUAUAACCAUCUGAUCCCAUAUGAUGGUGGUAUGUCUUUUUACUUGCAUUCUCUUUGUUUCUAAUGGCUCGUUCCUCGCCCUCUUCUGAUGUUUUGUACUGCACGAAGUCAUCCCAGAAGGCCCUCAGCUUUACAUAUUGCUUGAGGUUGAAAUUUGGAGUCUCGUUUUUUUUUGACAAAUUUAUUGUACAAAGUCUUCUUCCAAUUCUAGAACAGUACUGCCAUCUUCUUCAUAGUCCAGUCAUAAAUUCGCACCUUCAACUCUUCAUCGUUGGUGUCGAAGGUGAAAACGUCUCUGACGGCUUUCCAAACUAACUCCUUGUCACGAUCAGAGACAAAACUGAUCUCAGGAGCACCUCACUUCUCUCUCCAUUCACGAGCACUGAUCGGUAUUUGAUCUCUCACAAGAUAUCCACAAUGACUAACAUAUUUAUUUGCAUGUUCACCAAGUGGUCUGCCUGUAGCUAUCUCAAAGAUUACAUAGCGGCCCUCCAACAGCUUCUUUGGCCCUCAUGGAGGUACGCUUCUCCCCGUAGAGGUCGAUCCAGAAGGCUACACAUAGAUAUAGAAACAAAAAUACUAAAUUAAUAACCAAGUAAGUCUAAAACCUAAUGUAAGAGAUGCAUUAAUUAUAUAUGUUUACAUUGACAUACCUCGCCAGUAUUUUCUUCUUGUUGCACGACAAGUUGUUGCUAAGGCGCAUUGCCCUCUUGUUGCUCAGGGACAUUGCCCUCUUGUUGCUCAAUCGGAUUGCCUUGCAUGAUCUCGUUGUAAUCAAUAAAGUACUGACUACCGUCGUCGAUCAUAUGUUGAAUGGCAUCUUCCAUAUAAUCAGGAUCAUCAUGAGCACGGUCAGCCAUUUCUAUGUCUGCAACCAUACAUAUAUAUAUAUAUUCUAUAUAAGAUAAGAAAUACACUAGAAUAAUAUACUAAAAAACAAUACUAGAAUAAUAGUACAAACAAUAAUAUAUACAAAACACUACUAAAAUAAAUUUGGUGGGUAAACACUACUAGAAUAUAUAUUAGAGACUUAUAUACUACUACUAGUACUACUACAAAUGAAAGUGUUGGAGUGCUCUAAAAAUAAUACUAGAAUCUUUUAAGCCAAGUAAUACACUAGAAUAAUAUACUAAAAAACAAUACUAGAAUAAUAAUACAAACAAUAAUAUAUACAAAACGCUAGAAAAUAAAAUAUAUAUUAGAGACUUAUAUACUACUAGAACUACUACAAAUGAAAGUGUUGGAGUGCUCUAAAAAAUAAUACUAGAAUCUUAAGACUAGUAAUACACUAGAAUAAUAUACUAAAAGAAUAAUACUAAUAAUAGUACAAACAAUAAUAUAUACAAAAUAUUAGAAAAUAAAAUAUAUAUUAGAAACUUAUAUACUACUAGUACUACUACAAAUGAAAGUGCUGAAGUGCUCCAAAAAUAAUACUAGAAUCUUUUAAGCCAAGUAAUACAAUAGAAUAAUUUACUAAAAGAAUAAUACUAGAAUAAUAGUACAAACAAUAAUAUAUACAAAACACUAGAAAAUAAAAUAUGAUACAAGAAUAAUACAAGAAUAAUAUACUAUAUAUAUAUUAAAAAAUACUACUACAAAUAAUAUACUAAAAAAAUAAUACUACAUAAUAAUACAAGAAUAAUAUUAAUAUAUUACAAAUAUAUACUAGCAUAAUAUAAUUUAUAAAAACAGGUCAACACUACACUUAUACUAAUAUACUAAUGAAAAACUAAUUUAUAUAUAUAUAAUAUACUAAAAACUAAUAUACAUUCAUUCAUUCUGCAGAUUAUAUAUAUAUAUAGGCGUACCAACACACUACGGGAUCUCCGCGACUUCGGCCUACUACCACACCCUCUCCCCCCCAUUCGGAGAAGAUGGCUUGGGGAGCUCGGGCGAACCUAGUGGCUCCGAUACCAGCUUGAAAGGAUCGAGUCCAGGUCUAGGUGGGAUUAAGAUGGUAUGUCCGUGAAGGUGGAGUUUUUAUGCAGUUUAUAUGCAGGAAAGUAAAAUCGGAUGCAGUGCGGAAGAUAAAAUGAACAUAAAAGUAAUUAAUAUAAAAGUAAUAACUAAAUAUUUUUGGAUUUUUGAUUAAUAGAGAAAAUUAAUAAAGAAGCACACAACUAACACAAUAUAACAUAGAAAGAAAUGUAAAUAAAGUAGAACGUGAACACAAUUAUAUAAACAUAGUCCUGAAUUAUAUUAGGUACCUUGAUAGUCGAAGGUGAAUGCCUUCGAGUAGUACACUAGGCUCUUGAUACACACGAACACACGAACAAAGUACAGGGACUCGUUUACAAGACGACUCUCAUUAGACUCUCACACUAAGCCUCUUAUUUAGAGUAUAUGACACUACUACAAUACUUAGGUGGAAGGUGUUGCUCGUGCCCAAGGGCUUGAGCUUGGGUGUGUGAAGUUUCUGCGUUGUAGUUUUUUGUGCUCUCCUCUUGCCUCUUCAUCUUCUUAUAUAGGGGUGGCAAGGAUAUGGUUGUUGGUGGAGGUGCCUCUUCAUGAUGAUUCUUCUGACUUCUUUUCUUGCAUUAUUGGUGCAUCUUCAUGAUGAUCUUUUGACUCUUGUCAUACAUUAUUGGGGAAUCUUCAUGAUGACCUUUUUGACUUCACCAAAGUAGUGGAGCAUCUUCAUGAUAUCUCUUUUUGACUAUCUAUAGGCAUUAUGAUGAUACUUUUGACUUUGUCAAGGCCUUCAUGAUGUGCCUUUAGACUCUUGAUAAUGUUUGGUCUUAUCUUCAAUAAUGUAGAUUCCUUUGUCCUUGAAAGAUAUCUAGUCUUCUUUAUUUUGAUUGUGAUUUUAUUUGCUCAUUGGGGAGAAGUCAGAUAUUCCUCCCUGGGAUCCUUCUUCUUCUUGCUUCAUUGGUGAAUAAUAUACGAAACCUAGUACCGCUUGGCUGCAUUGUACUUGAUCUUCUUCAUCUUCUGGCUGAGGAGAUUUGAUCUGAAGUGGAUGAGGAGUAUCAUCUAACAUCUUGAACAUUCUUUCAUAAACAAGCAGUUUGAGAUCAGCUUGGGAUAAAUUUGGUUGUUUUAGUAAUAACUCUUUGGUGAUGUCUUCCUUUAGCUUGGCCAUGUUGGAUUUUUUGCUUGAGGCUUCAUAUCUUCUUUUAUUAAUGAUGGCCUGAAUAUUGAAUUUAUCCCACCAUCUUGCAUAAUAUUUUCUUCUGAGAGUUGCUGGGAAUUGGGUCUUUUGAAUAUCAAACUCCCACUUGAUGAUCCAUGGUAGGGAUGUUUCCACACAGAACUGCAUAAGUAUAAAGGGAUAGUCCUUUAAGUUUUUCUCGGACUCUUGUGUGAUCAUUCUGAUAAUGUCUUCAGGGAGUAUCUCUGGGAUUGCUCCGGCCUUAGGCCAGCAGUGUUUAAAGAACCAUAGUGGUAUUUCACCACAUCCUUCUUUGAAACGGAUGAACCAUGAAUGCUUCAUUUGAUAAUUUUGUAUGAGCAGCACUCUCUCCCAAGCCUUUUGAUAAUCCCAAUAGUUGUAAUUCUUAUUGAGGCAUGUGGCGGAGUAUAUAGUUUUAGCCACAUAAGGGUUGGAACUUCUGUCCCAUUCUUCCAAAUGAAUAACUUUCUAGAUUAAGAAUUUUGUAAAUCCCAAUUCUCCUCCAUUUUUAUUAUGGAAUAUUUGUGCGCUUUGUGUUUCGCACAGUAUUGUUUCAUAAUAAUUUUGAUCUUUGCCUGGAUACUCAGGUAUAAAAUAAGAAUCUUUUGGGAAAUACUUUCCCAAUAUGUUUUGAAGGUCGAGAUCUGAAUCAUUGAAUUCUAGAGGUAAUAUUAUUUCCUCUGAAUUCUGAAUAUAUUGAGACGCAUUUCCAUAUUUUCCUUGCGUCAUGGGGCUUUUACUUAUUUUCCCCUGAUAAGUUUGUUUGGAUGGAGAGCUUUCAUCACUUCUCCCUUUGAAUGAUAACUCUCUUUUGAGUGCCAUAUCCCUGUAAGAAUUCACGAGAUAAGAAAUCUGGGAGCGAAUUUAUUUCUCCCUUUAUAUGCUCAAUAUCAAAGUCAAAGCAUGAUAAUAUUGCUUGCCAUCUGGCAAAUAUCUGUUUGGAGACUAAAUUCUCCACAUCUUUUUGGAGGACAUCUUUUGCAGCUUUGCAAUCUAUUCUCAAUAAGAAUUUCUGAUUGAGAAGUUCUCCUUGAAAUUUUGAGACAACCUUUACGAUUGCCAAUAUCUCUUUUUUGAUGGUAGAAUAAUUUUUUUGAGCGUCGUUCCAGGUUCCUGAAGCGAACCUAACGAGCUGCUCUUUGGAAUCCUUCUUUUGUUUUAGGAUUCCUCCAUAACCAAAAUCUGAGGCAUCUGUCUCAAUAAUUUUAAAUGCAUCAUGAUCUAAAAUAUAUAAGCAUGGCAGUCUUUUGACCUUAUCCUUGAUCUGCUUCACUGCCUGAGUAUGUCUUGUGGUCCAGGCUGGAGGAUUUUUCUUUAACCUUUCGGUUAGAAUCUUUCUAUCUUUUGCUAAUCUUUCAUAAAAAUCUGAAACAUAAUUCAAACAUCCUAAAAAUCUUUGCAAUUGUUUCUUUUCUUUAAUUUCAUCAGGGAACUUAUCUGCAAAUUCUAUUACUCGGGUGACUGGAAGAACUUGAUCAUGUUGUAUCUUAUAUCCUAAAAAUUGUAUGUUGGUUUGAAAAAGUUUCAUUUUCCGAGCAGAAACUACAAGGCCAUUUUGGAUAAUUAUUUUAUAAAAUAUAUUUAGGUGCUUCCAAUGUUGAUCAAUAUUUUGUGAGAAAAUUAAGACAUCAUCUAUAUAGACUAUGAUAAAGGAGGUGUAUGGCAAGAAGAUUUCGUUCAUGAUUUUUUGAAAUUCUGAUGGAGCAUUUUUCAAACUAAAAGGCAUAGCAUUCCAUUCAUAAUGUCCAAAUGGUGUGGUAAAAGCAGUUUUAUACCUGUCUUCUUCCUUUAUUUGAAUUUGCCAAAAUCCAGACUUCAUAUCAAAUUUGGAAUAAAUUUGAGAUCCUUGAAUUCUUCGGAUCAAAUCAUGUUUAUAAGGAAUUGGAUAUCUUAUCCUUUGUAAUACUUUGUUAAGAGGCUUAUAGUUAAUAACCAAUCUAGGAACACCUCUUUCUUUUUCAGUAGCAUUUUCAACAUAGAAGGCUGCACAACUCCAAGGUGAGGAACUUUUCCUUAUUAAGCCCUUCUUUAAGAGCUCAUUGAUCUCAGAUUUGCAGAUUUCUAAAAGUCUACUAUUCAUUUGGAUGGGUCUUGCUUUGGUGGGGAUUUUAUCUUCACUAAAGCCAGAUAUGUAAGGGAGAGUCACAACAUGCUUUUUCCUAUGCCAAAAGGCAGAAGAAAUAUCAAAGCAUAUAUCUUUGAUAAAUUUAUCUUCCAGGGCUUUUAUUUUAAUCUUGAAUUUUGGAUCUUCAAGGGUCUUAUCAAUUCUUACUUUCUUGAUUUCAUCGGCAACCUCAUGAAUGAAUUAUUCUUUAUGACGGAUUGCUUCCUUUAGAUGAUUCAAGAGAGUCUCCUUAGGUUGGGAGGUGAACAUCAAAUCUACCUUCUUGCCUUUGAUGGUAAAUUGAAUACUUUUCUCAGUCACAAAGAAAGGUCUUGUUAAGGAUAGAAAUGGGGUUCCUAGGAUCACUCCUUGAUUGAGGUUCUUGAUCAAUAAGAAUGAUGUUUUCAAGCAGACUCCAGAAAUACAAACGUGGACCUCAGGAAUUUUAUGGCUAGCUUGGAGCAGAUUUCCAUUAGCCGCAUGAACCCUAUGUGAUGAUUUUUCAAAAUAUUUGAAAGGGAUAAUUCCUUCUCUAAUGCAGUUAACAUCUGCACCUGAAUCAAUCAAAGUUUUAUAUUUGAAGUUGAAACCAUCAUAGAAUUUAUAUUGGAUCUCAACAUACCAUUUCUGUUUAAUAUAUCUUUCUAUGGAGCCAACCAGUUCUUCAUUUUGGGCUUCAUUAUUUUUCUCAUCAUUAUCAGAGUUUUGAUAAUCAAGGAUUUGUUCUUUUCUUUUGAGAUUUCUUAAUUCUUCCUUAAUCUCUUUAUAUUCUUUUGAAAGGUUAUCUAGGUCUUGUUGCUUACAUUUUGUCUUUAGAUCUUUAUCUUUAGAACAAAACACUUUUCCUGACUCAUCUUUGUUGUUUUUUACUUUUGAUAAGAAUUUUUCAAGGAUAAAUCCUUUUUCUUCUGGGUUCUGCACAAUAUCAAAGGUAUCUAGCAAGAAUUGAUCUAGAUCAGUGAGAACCAAGAUGUUUUCAACAGCUUUUACUUUGUGCCUGCAUUUUUCCUGUGGGCUUUUGAUUUCAAAAGGGUCUCUGAAACUAAUUUGAUGGCAAAAAAUUUUCAGAUUUCUAUUCAUACUACCCUUUUGGUUUUUGGGCUGGUCUGUAGCGUCCAAGGCACUGCAACACUCAGCUCCUUCUAUUCGGAUUAUUUUCUUUUUAUCUGAUUUUCGAUAGCUUAUAGCUUCUUCCUUCUCGUAGGAUGGGGAAGGCCGGCUAGAAAUAUAUUUUUCUUUCCAAAAAUUUUGAUUAGGUUCUGGAAGAGUAUAUAAUUUUGAUAGGAAAUAAUCUUUAUACCCAUUUGUUGCAGUUUUGCAUCUCAAAAUAAUCAAUUGUUCUCUAUUCUUCUCAUAGUUUUCAGUAUGAUGAUAAACUAUGUUAUAGAGCAUGAUUAAGAUAAUAUUGGGAGCUAUUUUUGGAGAUUGUCCUUGAUCAACUGCUAGGACGACUUUCUUUUCAUAAAUUUUUGUGGCUUUAGCUCUGGAUUUUCUUUGGGUUUCACUAAGGUAGUGAUCCCACCAAAAACUUAUGUAAAACAUAUAGGAAGCAUUUCUAUUUCCACCUAUUAUGCCAGUCUUUGUACUCAUAGUUAUUUGAUGGCUCUUAAACAUUUGAUAAUCUGUGAGCCUUUCAGGAUUCCUUGUUAUGUAGGGCAUUUUGAAUUGAAGGUCCCAAAUAAUAUUAGGUGGAUAAUUUAUCAUAGCAAUUUGUACUGUUGUUGUGAGAGGUUUUGUUAGAUUUUUGCUAUACCCAUAAAUUUGGUUGAUAUUUUUAUUGACCAUAGGAAUUCCAAAACCAUCUGGAGGUUCCUCUAAAAUAGAGGAUCUAAUGGCCUUUUGUUUUCCAUGUUUGAAGUUGGGAAAGAUCAUUUGUGGGAUGAAAAGUGGAAUAAGUAUUUGAGUAUGGGGAGCAUCAGGAUGAGUGCUAGAUGGAAGAUUUACCUUGACUUCGCUUUUGCUAGGUUUUAUUCCAUCCAUGACAUUGGCAUCCACAUGCUCCGUUUGUUGAUUCACCAUGUGACCCUUAGGUUCAAACCUUAUAGGUUCAGCAUAGGUUACUUUGGAUAUACUUUUGAGUGGACAGGUCUUAAGGCUUUCAACUUUUGCUUCUGAUUGGAUGGGUUCAAAGGGUGGAUGAACAACUUCAACCUGUUUACCACUGGUGGUCUUCCAAUUUUUAGAAACCUUUUCUAUCAUGGUUAUUUUGUCAUCAUCAGACUCAGGUUCUAUCUUAUCCUUUUGUUUUGAAUCUGGUUUAAAGAAUUCUUCAAAAUGUCUGAUCUGACUGUUUUCAUACCAAUCAAAGAAGAAUAUGUUCUUCUUUUGCUCAAUCAUCUCUUUGUGCCAAAGUUCUCUAAUUUUCAACCUAAAAGGCUGAUCCACAUUCUUGAAAUACCUUUCCUUUUUGGCUUUAUUUUUGGGGAGUGCUAUCUCUCUAUGGAGAAGCUCUUUGUCUAUUUGGAACUCCUUUUCCCUUACCACAUAACAGUAUGUUUGUAGUUCAGGAUCGUCAACCUCAAUGACAUUGAUAUCAAAGUCAGAGAUUGAUGGUUCAUAGGAGUUGUCUUGAUGCAUAGUAUGGGCAAUAUUUUGUAGUUCAUUUUUUGUAUUAUUUUCUGAGUGGAGAGAUUUAUGCGUACUAGUGAUUUUUUUCAAAGCAUUUAUAUGAAAUAUUAGACAUAUCCUUGACCCACUUAUCACUGUUACACGAGGCUACAGACUUGUCAGAAGCACUAAGCGUCCUUACUAACCAAGACAUCUUAUACGAAGACAAAGAAGUUUAGAUGGGGUAGUUUCCAGUCCAACGGCAGGGAUAAACCUCACAAUUAAGAUCACCUUCUAGGGUAUAUGGUUUCCAGUCCAACGGUAGGGUUAAACCUCACAAUUAAGAUCAACUGGUUUCUCUGUUCGAGCUGCUAGUCCAACGAUUCACCACCUAAGCUGCUAGUCUAACGUUUCAACGCUAAUCAAACACCUAUCCUUCGGCUAAACAAGGCUAACGGGUCGAGGCAAGCUUAGACUAACGGGUCGAGGCGAACUCUUACAAGAGGAAACAGGAUCUCCGUGACUUCGGCGUACCAACACACUACGGGAUCUCCGCGACUUCGGCCUACUACCACACCCUCUCCCCCCGUUCGGAGAAGAUGGCUUCGGGAGCUCGGGCGAACCUAGUGGCUCUGAUACUACCAGCUUGAAAGGAUCGAGUCCACGUCUAGGUGGGAUUAAGAUGGUAUGUCUGUGAAGGUGCUUUGUUCGUGUGUUCGUGUGUAUCAAGAGCCGGGUGUACUACUCGAAGGCAUUCACCUUCGACUAUCAAGGUACCUAAUAUAAUCCAGGACUAUGUUUGUAUAAUUGUGUUCAUGUUCUACUUUCUUUACAUUUCUUUCUAUGUUAUAUUGUGUUAGUUGUGUGCUAUACAUUCAUUCAUUCUGCAGAUUAUAUAUAUAUAUAUUAUACUAAAAACUAAUAUACAUUCAUUCAUCAUUCUGCAGAUUAUAUAUAUAAACUGUUGGAGAUCGAUUUAGUAUACGUAGAGGAUCUAGACGCGGCCGGAGUUCGAUCGGUGGCCGGAGAUGGUGGCGGCCGGCGCUGGAGACGGCGCGGCGGCGGCGGCGCUGGAGAUGGUGGCCGCGGCGGCGGCGCUGGUGGUCGGAGCUGGCCGCGGCGGCGUUGGAGGUCGGCGAGGUCGCGCGCGGGCAGAUGAACGGGCGGCGGCGCUGGAGACGACGAACUCGACGAAGACGAAGAUGAACUGCUCAGAUCCAGAGCGCCCAUGACUUAAAUAGGGGCAGACCCUUUAGCACCGGUUCCAGCCACGGACCGAUGCUAAAGGGUCCUAGGCACGCUCGGGCGGGGUCCUAAAAAUUUUCGAGACCCUUUAGCACCGGUUCCCACUAUGGGCCGGUGCUAAAGGCCCUGUUUUUACUUUAGGGUUUUUCAAUUGUUUAUAUAUACAGUUUAUAUUAUAAAUUGUAUAGUAAAUUAAAUAUUUUGUAUAAUAUUUUUUAAACAGUGACAUAUAUUGUAAUUUUUUUUUAAUGUACACAUGAAAAUUUUUAACCUUAAAUAUCUUACUAUAUUUUUGUAAUUUACAAUAAUUUUGUAAGAAAUGUUUAGUAUUUUGUUAAUGCAAAAAUAUAUUAUUCCAAUAAAUUUACAAAAACUAUAACCAAUCAACUGGAAAUCUAUUUUCACAUCAUAUUGACGUUAAACUUUUUAUUUUUGUUAUUUAUUACUCGAUUUGCUAGUAGGGUAUAGUUUUCAUCAAAUAAAAAAUCUAUUUAUAAUAUAAAAAUAUAUAUCUUGAUGAACACACCCUUUGAUCAAACUCUAGAUUGUCCCAAAUGGAAAAGUCAUGAAUACAAAGUUUGUUACACUCAUCAAGUUCUACAUUUUGUCUAAUGGUCAACUUUUCUUUUGGAAAAGUUUGAACCACUGAAUUUUAAAUUUUCAGAGAAUUCAUAGCCACGUAGCGGUUUCGGAACCCUAGAUGGUCUCGAAUGGAAAAGUCAUGAAUACCAAUAUUGUUCCACUCAUCAAAAUCUACAUUUCAUAUAUAGACCAUUUUUGCAUUUGUCAAAGUUUUGGGAAGGUGUAGUUGAAAAUCCACAAUUGACGCAUAUAGUUUCAUAUAGUUUGUAUAGUUUGUGUGAGAUUCAAGAAUUGGUGGGUAUUGUUAACUUAAACUUUCUCAAAUGGAAAUGUUGUGUAUAUAAAAAGUUUAGAUCUUGAUGAUAUCUAACAACUUGGUAUUCAAAAUUUUUUCAUUUUAAGUAAUUUAGUUUGUCAUUUGACCAAGUUUGACCAAAACCAGUCUGAGAAUAUAUAGAAAUGUGAUUAGGAUUGGCUCAAAAUUAUUCAAAUAGAAAAAUGGACAAUAUAUAAAAUGUAGAUCUUGAUGAUCUCUAACAACUUUGUAUUCAAACUUUUUUCAUUUGAAGUCAUCAAAUGAGCCAUUUGACCAAGUUUGACCAAAGUCAAAACAUUGGUUUUUACAAAAACACCCUUUGACCGAACCCUAGAUUGUCCCAAAUGGAAAAGUCAUGAAUACAGAGUUUGUUACACUUAUCAAGUUCUACAUUUUGUCUAAUGGUCAACUUUUCUUUUGGAAAAGUUUGAACCACUGAAUUUUAAAUUUUCAGAGAAUUCAUAGCCACAUAGCGGUUUCGGAACCCUAGAUGGUCUCGAAUGGAAAAGUCAUGAAUACCAAUAUUGUUCCACUCAUCAAAAUCUACAUUUCAUAUAUAGACCAUUUUUCCAUUUUAAGUAAUUUAGUUUGUCAUUUGACCAAGUUUGACCAAAACCCAUCUUGGAUUUUAUAGAAAUGUGAUUAGGAUUGGCUCAAAAUUAUCCAAAUGGAAAAAUGGACAAUAUAUAAAAUAUAGAUCUUGAUGAUCUCUAACAAUUGGAAAAGUCAUGAAUACAAAGUUUGUUACACACAUCAAAAUUCACAAUUCUCAAAUAUAGUUUCAUACAAAGUCAAGCCGACACAACAGUGAACUUCUUCUUGACGUAUGACCCUUGGUUAUGAUCCUGCCGUAACCAUGGAGUAUCCUCAUUGUUUAACAGAAUGCUUGGGUCUUUGUUGACUAUGAAGGGCGGAAUUCGAUCAUCCCUUUCGUAAUUGCCUGACAUGUCUGACUUGUCCUCAAUUCCGACAAUGUUUCUUUUCCCAGAAAGGACAAUGUGGCGCUUUGGCUCAUUGAUGAUUGAGUGGUCAUCAUUUUUUCCUCUCUUUGGUUUCGUAGACAUAUCUUUGACAUAGAACACCUGACUCACGUCUGCAGCAAGGACGAAUGGUUCGUCUUUGAACCCACUAUUGUUAAGGUCCACGGUUGUCAUCCCAUACUCCUUGUCGACUGUUACCCCACCUCCGGUCAUCUUCACCCAUUGGCACCAGAACAAAUGAACUUUAAAAUUAGCUGCAUAGACUAGUUCCCAUAUGUCUUCUAUGCGUCCAUAAUAUGUUUGUCUGUUCCCAUUUGGAUCCGUGGCAUCCACCGUACACCACUAUUUUGGUUGGUGCUCCUUUUAUCUUGGCCAACUGUGUAAAAUGUGUUACCAUUUAUCUCGUACCCUUUGUACGUGAGGACAUGCCAUGAUGGUUGCCUUGCCAACAAAUAAAGCUGCUCAUCAAUGUUUUCAUCACCUUGACAUUUUUUGCGCAACCAAUCGCCAAAAGUUUCCAUGUGCUGACGCAUUAUCCAAGCUUCAUUCUUCCCGGUCCACUGGGACCGUAGGAAAUCUUUGUGUACCUCAACAUAUGGUUCCACCAAUGAGGAGUUCUGGAGAACUAGCUAUGUAGUGUGCUUUAUUGAAGUAAUCGUCUCCCGUACCAAUAUAUGUUUUCUUCCCAAGUGUUCCCUUUCCGCUGAGUCUGCCCUCGUGUCGAGAUUCAGGAAUGCCAAUUGGGUCAAGGUCUGGAAUAAAGUCAACACAGAACUCUAUGACCUCCUCUGUUCCAUAGCCCUUGGCAAUGCUUCCUUCUAGCCGGGAAUGACUAUGGACAUAUUUCUUUAGGACACCCAUGAAUCUCUCGAAGGGGAACAUGUUGUGUAGGAACACAGGACCGAGAAUACGAAUCUCUUUGAUCAGAUGAACUAGGAGGUGUGUCAUGAUAUCGAAGAAGGAUGGAGGGAACACCAACUUAAAGCUGACGAGACAUUGAACGAUAUCAUUUUGCAGAGUAGCUAGUUGCUCUGGAUUGAUUGCCUUCUGAGAAAUUGCAUUGAGGAAUGCACAUAAUGUUGACACUGUUUUUUGACACGUGCACAAGAACCGGUAGAGUACAAGAUCGGCAGGCGGAGCAACGGUAACUAGACUGUAAAAGAGUUGCCGAUGAGGAAGGUUGCCGAUGGCUCCAUGGGAGUUGCCGAUUGACCCGUGGCAGUGUCCUCGUCGGUUACAAGGGGAUAGUUUUAUGUUUUCCUUAGUCGUUUAAAUUCGUUUUGUAUACGGAUUCUGUUUAAUUUGGAAUUCGAGUCUUAGUCAUGUCUGAUUGUAGCUCUUUGAGCAGGGUAUAAAUGUAGACCCUAGGGCCUUGUAAUAUGAACGAAUCAAUCAAUCAAACACAAGUUUUUUCUCAUAUUCCAGCAUCUACUUUUUCGACGACUUCAUCAUAUUUUUCCUUUUUAUUACGAGUUCUUAGGAGUUCGUCGACUUAAGCUCAGCGUAUUCUCAAGUUCCGCGUGAGCACCUCUUGGCCGUGACAUCCGGGCGUAUCGCUGUUGUCGGGACCAAAGUGUUCGAAUUAUCACCUUUACCGAUAGUAAGGUCAAAUCGGUUGGCACGCCUUAACGUUUGAAUCGGGUAUUAGCCCUUUGUGUUUGCAGAUCCAGCUUUUGCAUCAACACAUCUUUUGGCACGCCCAGUGGGACCAAGAUCCAAGAUCAAGAUCAACAUGUCAACUACUGAAUUCGAUCUGGAGAACGUCAUCCCGGUGACAGAAGCCAGUCUCAAAGAUGACCAGAAGUAAGCUAUUGCAAAAGCCAUGGAGGACUACAAGCAGCAAUAUUUGAAAUCCUUCAGCAUAAACAGGAGCGGUGAGGUGGUCCAGAAGAAGGCACUGCCGGCACCUCGGCAGGUUACUUUCGACGCCAAUUCUGGUAAACUCCUAGACAUGGUUGACGGCGCUAUUAACCGUGCCUUAAUCAAUCAAGCUGGUAUAUUGUCUAAUACGGUUUUCAAUGCCGUGGUUAGAACAUUCAAAGAAGGACAAUUGCCACCAAAUUAUGUGGGCCCUGUCUAUCAUCAGCCGGGAUCACCAGAAGUUACAGCUCCAUCGGCUGUUACAGCCGUUGCGGGCGCAGAAACUACUGUUCCUCCAAGCACGUUGGGAGUUACUAAUGCGCAAUCUACACCGAUGCUAACCAAUCCAUCCACUUCAGAUGGGCAGAUCAAGCUUGCUACAGAUUUAUUGGCGUCAACGAUGUCGGGAUCGGUUCCUCCUCCUAACUGGUGGGGUUACGGUAUGCCUCCAGAGUUGACGUCGAAGACACCUACGUAUCUCAGAUGGCUGAUGUGAGAGGCAAGGCUCCUAUGGCGUCGGCACCUCCAAAUAUGCCAAUGAAUCAGAGUCCCCAGUAUACUACAACUACUACUGCGAGACCUUACACUGGGAAUUCUCAAGCUCCAACGUUCCAGAUGCCUAACGCAUCGGCAGAUUCAAUGCCGAUGCAACAGAGGUUUAUGACUCAGUCAGGGUAUGUCAAUUCGAUGACGAUACCCAAUUACCAGUCAUCGGCAGGUUCUAUGCCGAUGAAUGUUAAUAAUGGAUGGCCUGGGCAAUUUGUGUUUCCACAGCAGAAUCGCAGAUCAAUCAGCAGGGCCAAGUCCAACCUGGGUUCCAUAAUCAAAGAUUGGUCAACCAGCCGAUGAAUCUCGGCCAGCAGUUUGGUGGCCAGGUGAUUAACCCGAUGUUCCAUGCAGAUCGCGCACCGCACAGACACGUGGAAGAUUAUCAACAGGUGCCAGAUCCACAACCACCUCAUCGGCAAGAUGCCGAUGCUUAUUGGGCCGAUAAGAUCGCUGAAGUGAUGAGGGACCAAUUUGGGAUAAAACCCAAAGUCAACACUUACUCUUAUCGGACACCGUAUCCUCCUGCAUAUGAUUUAAUUCCACUCCCAAAUCGGUACAAAGUACCAGAUUUCACUAAGUUUUCUGGACAGGAUGAUAAAUCAACCAUGGAACAUGUCAACAGGUUCAUCAUCCAAUGUGGAGAAGCUGCUAAUAGGGACGAGUUAAGGGUUCGCCUGUUCUCGUCAUCAUUGUCUGGAUCGGCAUUUACUUGAUUUAUAUCGUUACCUCCCAACUCAGUGAUUACUUGGGCCGAUCUAGAGAAGCAAUUCCACAAGUACUUCUUUUCUGGAGUACAUGAGAAGAAGAUCACCGAUUUGGUCAAAUUGAAGCAACGCAACGAUGAAUCGGUUGAAAGUUUUGUGCAGAGAAUACGGGAGGUUAAAAACAAAUGUUAUAGUCUGGUCUUGGACGAUCGGCAGCUUGCCGAUUUGGCUUUCCAGGGUUUGUUGCCGCACAUCAGGGACAAAUACGCCUCUCAGGAGUUUGAGAGCUUAAGUCAUUUGGUGCAAAGGAUUUCUGAUCAGGACGUCAGACCUUUUGAGCCCAAGAGAGCAUGGAAUAAAAAGGUGUCUUUUGUCGAUGAAGCAGCAAGCUCAGAUUCUGAUGAAGAGCCAGUCAUCGGCUUGGCAGAAUGGGUGAAAAACAAAAAGCCGAUGUCCUGCCCUUUUGGACAUAAAGAGCCAGAAAAGUUCGCAUUUGAUAUCACUAAAGCCGAUAGGAUAUUCGACUUUCUACUUCAGGAAGGCCAGAUCCAGUUGUCACCCAAUCACGUGAUCCCAUCGGCUGAAAAGUUGAAGAAGAUGAAAUAUUGCAAGUGGCACAAUGCAACUUCUCACAGCACCAAUGAGUGCAAAGUUUUUAGACAACAGCUGCAAUCGGCUAUAGAGUCUGGGAGAAUCAAAUUUGAUAGCUCCAAAGCCCAGAAGCUGAUGAAGAUCGAUCAACAUCCUUUCCCAACAAAUAUGCUAGAUGCUAAGGGAAAAACCAAGGUAUUGACAUCGAAAGCAGCUGAGAGGAGUUCAUCGGUGGAUCCCCAGCAUCAGAUUACUGCUGCCGAUGCCAAAAGAAAAGGUUUGAUCCAGGAGGGAUCCAACUCAGGAAGGCCUCCACGAUCCGGUAUUGUGAUAACUCAUAGAAGGCCUCGGGAGACCUGGCAGCAACGGGAGGAUCGGUAUCGGCGCCAGCAAAAAGACUAUCGUCGGGAAGAAGAAAGAUGCCGACGGGAGUGGAAUCGGCACAAGGAUCACUGGAACUGUCCAUUCUUUAUCCAUUGCUGGGAGCAAAACAUUAAAUUGCCCACUGUUGGGGAUUGCCCUGAGUGCAAUGGCUAUGAUCGGUAUGACAGGUCUGAUCGGCGCUACCACGAUGAUGAUCGGCGAUUUAAUGGGCCGAUUAGGGGGAGAGCAUCGGUUCAUGAUCGGCUGGGGGGCAGGCUCAGUGUGCACGAUAGGCUUGGUGAUCGUAUCGAAUAUUUUCCCACGAAUUGGGAAGAGCUUGAAGAGAUGGCUAAUGCACGAGUUCCCGAUGAGUUCAUAUUUUGCGGGGAUGCUAAUACUCAUCGGAUGGAGUCAAGAGAACAUCGUCGUCCGUCGGCAAGGCAGUCGCCACUUCCCCCAUGGUGUCCAGAGGGGUUGACUAAGACACAAAAAAGGAGACUGCAGCGCGAAAGGCGAGAGGAGCUAAGCAAGGGUGAGAACUCUGGCCAGCCUGGGGAUCAACAACAAUCAGAUCCUAAGGGGAAAGGACAAUCGGCAGGUGUCAACAUGGUAUUUAUGUUGCUGAUGGAAUUCCUUGCGCCAUACAGUGAUGAUGAGAGGUUGGAGUUUUCCGACCAGAUAGCUCAGUUGGCUCUGGAUCCGAUGACAGUCAUUUCUGAAAAGCCUGCCGAUAAUGAAAGACAACAUCUUAAAGCUCUGUUUGUAAAAGGUAGAGUUGAUGGUCAGCCAAUGACCAAGAUAUUGAUUGAUGGAGGGGCUGCUAUCAACAUCAUGCCAUAUGCAGUCUAUUGGAAACUUGGAAAAGGAGAUCAAGAUUUGACCAAGACCGAUAUGAUGCUGAAAGAUUUUGAAGGGAAUGUGUCUCCGGUCAAGGGGGCGAUAUGCGUUGAGUUGACCAUCGGCAGCAAAACUUUGCCGACAACUUUCUUCGUGAUCAGCGGAAAAGGUGCCUACAAUUUGCUGCUAGGGAGAGAUUGGAUUCACGCCAAUUGUUGCAUCCCAUCUACAAUGCACCAAUGCUUGGUCCAGUGGAUAGGUGACAAGAUUGAGAUUGUCCCAGGAGACUCUUCCUAUGUUAUUGCAUCGGCAGAGGCGGACACUUAUGAAAGGACUAGGUGCAUCUCAGGAGAGAUUUGGGAGAAGGAUUUCCUCAAAGUCGCCGAUUAUGAAAUUCCACCGAUCCAAGCAGUCGGUUCUGAUGAGGAGUUUUAAUGGAUAGGUUCGCCGAUGAUGGAAAAUUAGGCCAGGGAUUCACAUCGGCCGAUGAUUUAAUAGAGGUAGAUAUAGGUAGUGGAGAUAAACCUAGACCUACUUUUAUUAGUGCUAAGUUAAAUUCUGAGUGUAAGCAGCAGUUAACCGAUUUGUUAAAGGAAUAUAAAGAUUGCUUUGCUUGGGAUUAUACUGAGAUGCCUGGUUUAGACCGAUCAAUUGUUGAACAUCGGUUACCUAUUAAGUCUGGAUUUCGGCCACAUCAGCAGCCAACUCGCCGAUGCAAUCCUAAUAUUCUUCCUGAUAUUAAGGCCGAAAUAACCAAACUUAUUGAAGCUAAAUUUAUUCGGCAGUGUCGGUAUGCCGAGUGGAUUUCCAAUGUGGUCCCAGUUUACAAGAAAAAUGGAAAGCUUCGAGUUUGCAUUGAUUUCAGGAAUCUUAAUAAAGCUACGCCGAUGGAUGGUUAUCCAAUGCCGGUUACCGAUCUGCCGGUUGAUGCUGCGGCUGGACAUCGGAUCAUCAGUUUUAUGGAUGGUAAUGCAGGAUACAAUCAAAUAUUCAUGGCUGAAGAGGAUAUUCCAAAGACUGCGUUUAGAUGUCCUGGUCAUGUUGGGCUGUUUGAGUGGAUAGUCAUGACCUUUGGCUUGAAAAUGCUGGUGCUACUUAUCAAAGGGCCAUGAAUUUUAUCUUUCACGAGUUCAUCGGCAAGCUGGUGGAAAUUUACAUCGAUGAUGUGGUGGUUAAGUCUGGAGAUUUUACAAAACAUCUUGCUGAUUUGCGAAAGGUGUUGGAAUGCACAAGGAAGCAUGGUUUAAAGAUGAACCCUAAUAAGUGUACGUUUGGUGUAUCGGCAGGACAGUUUCUUGGUUUCAUUGUGCAUCAGAGAGGGAUUCAGAUUAGUAGAAGAUCCAUUGAUGUUAUCAACAAAAUAGUUGCUCCUACCAACCAAACCGAGCUCCAGUCCUUGAUCGGCAAGGUAAAUUUUAUCAGGAGGUUUAUAUCUAAUUUGUUUGGUAAAAUCCGUGCUUUCAUUCCUUUACUCAAAUUAAAAGCCGAUCAAGAAUUCGUAUGGGGAAAAGAGCAACAGUUGGCCCUAGAUGAAAUCAAGAAUUAUUUGGUGAAUCCUCCGGUUCUGAUUCCACCCCAGCAAGGAAAGCCCUUCAGAUUGUAUUUGUCUACCGAUGGGAUGGUCAUCGGUUCAGCUUUGAUUCAAGAAUUUGAAGGGAAGGAGCGUGUAAUUUAUUAUUUAAGCAGGAGGUUAAUUGAUGCUGAAACCAGGUAUUCGGCUGUUGAAAAGUUAUGUUUGUGUCUAUAUUUCUCAUGUAUUAAGUUGAGGCACUAUUUAUUAUCGGCCAAAUGCACUGUUAUAUGCAAAGAUGACGUGGUCCGAUAUAUGCUGACUAUGCCGAUUAUAAGUGGCAGGAUCGGUAAGUGGAUUUUGACGCUAUUGGAGUUUGAUCUGCGUUACGAAUCGGCUAAAGCGGUUAAAGGACAGAUCAUGACCGAUUUUGUGACUCAACAUCGUGGUGCAGUAGAAACUUCGGAAAUUGUGCCUUGGAUGCUCUUCUUUGAUGGAUCCACGUGUGACCGGGGGGCAGGAAUCGGCAUAGUGCUAAUUUCCCCUCGGGGAAGGAAAUAUGAGUUCUCCUUGCCGAUUGCUGCCACAUCGACAAAUAAUCAAGCCCAAUAUCAAGCUUUGAUAAAAGGGUUGGAACUAUUAAGAGAAGUUCAUGCUGACGCUGUUGAAGUCUUUGGGGAUUCUAUGCUGGUUAUAAAUCAACUGGCUGGAAGCUAUGAAUGUCGCAGCGAAGUCCUGAUAACUUAUCACGAGAGGAGUAUGCAAUUGUUAAAGGAAUUCAAGGAUUUCCGAUUAGAGCAUGUUCCUCGGUUGCAUAAUGAAGAGGCCAAUCGGUUGGCUCAGCAUGCCUCGAGAUACCAGCCCAUGUUGAAUACGAUGUCGGCAAUUGGCGCUGAUGAUUGGAGAAAAGAAAUCGUUGAUUAUUUGAAGGAUCCAUCCAAGAAAGUUGAAAGACGUGUUCGGUUUCAAGCCACCAAGUAUGUGCUCCUCGGAGAUGAAUUAUACUAUCAAACAAUUGAUGGGAUUCUUCUCAAAUGCUUGGGUGAAGAUGAAGCUAAAAGUUUGAUGGGAGAAAUCCAUGAAGGAAUGUGUGGAGCACACCAGUCGGCAUUCAAGAUGAAGUGGAUGAUCAGGAGAAAUGGGUAUUAUUGGCAAACCAUACUUGAAGAUUGCUUUAAAUAUUUCAAGGGGUGUCAAGGAUGUCCGAAGUUUGGCAAUGUUCAAAGAGCACCCACAUCGGCCAUGAAUCCCAUUAUUAAACCUUGGCCGUUCCGGGGAUGGGCUAUUGAUCAAUUGGUCAGAUUUAUCCGCCAUCUAGCAAAGGACAUAAGUUUAUAUUGGUUGCUACCGAUUAUUUCACCAAGUGGGUUGAAGCUAUUCCUUUGAAGAAAGUCACAUCGGCCAAUAUGAUUGAUUUUGUGAAAGAGCAUAUUGUUUACCGAUUUGGGAUUCCUCAAACGAUUACUACCGAUCAGGGUACUAUGUUUACAUUAGGAGAGUUUGAUGAAUUUGCAAUCGGUAUGGGAAUCAAAGUAUUAAAUUCUUCUCCUUAUUAUGCUCAAGCUAACGGGCAGGCCGAGGCGUUUAACAAAGGAAUUAUCAAGCUUAUUAAGCAAAAAAUCGAAGAAAAUCCUAGGAGGUGGCAUACGUUGUUAAAUGAAGCUUUAUGGUCCUAUCGGAUGGCUUGUCAUGGAUCGACCAAAGUUUCACCUUAUCAGUUGGUGUAUGGGCAUGAUGUAGUGCUACCUUGGGAGGUUAAGACUGGAUCUAGAUGACUAUCUUUUCAGGAUCAAUUGGCUGCCGAUGAUUAUGCUACAUUGAUGACAGACGAAUUGGAUGAUUUAGCAGGACAUCGGCUAAGAGCUCUGAUAAGUAUAGAAGAAAAUAAGGAGAGGGUUGCUAGAUGGUAUGAUAAGAAGGUGAAGGCUAAGGAGUUUGCCGAUGGAGAUUUAGUAUGGAAACUAAUCUUACCGAUCGGGACUAAAAGUUCAAAGUUUGGGAAGUGGUCUCCUAAUUGGGAAGGUCCUUAUCAGAUAAAUCGAUCUGCUCCCGGCAAUGCUUAUAUCUUGGAAACUCUCGAAGGAGUUGAAUUUCCCAGAGCAUUAAAUGGCAAAUAUUUAAAGAAGUAUUACCCGAGCAUAUGGGUCGAUGCAUGAGAGAUUAAGUGCCGAUAACAUUCCUAUCGGCUAGAUUUAAACUAUAUCUGGGACCAGACUUAAUGUUUUAAACAGAUGCCGAUAACAGUCCUAUCGGCUAGACCAAAAUGGUUAGAAUGAAGAAGCAAAGAAUGCCGCUGAUGAAGAGUUCACAUGUUCAACAGCGCCUGGAUCGUCGAUAUGGCGCGCAGACGGAUCUGGUUGGCUUCUUCUAUCUCCUUCACGUCAUCAUCGGCAGAGCCCUCCACUGGCUUCAGCUUCUUCUUCAUCUGCAGCGCUUUGCGGCCAUGGACAUUUCGCUCUUGUUCAAGAAGUUUGAUCGCCUCAGGCAGCUGUCUUUCCUCUUGUUGAGCUUGGGACAAGGCUUCUUCUACUUGCUUGAGUUCUACCAACAGGGCUUCUCCUUUUGCCGAUAGAUCAGAGAUCUUGUGCUUCAGCGCAUCUCCUGAGGACUUCAAGAUGCCGAUGUUCUUGUGCUUCUCAUCGGCAAGGAGCUUCACUUUCAUCAUCUCCUCAGAAAGCUGAGCCUGAGCAGCUCUAUCGGCAAGACGCUCGGUAGCCUUUUGAUAUUGCAGCUGACGGCUCUCUAGAUGUGCAGCUUGAAAAAGGAUUUCUUCGGCAUCGGUAGAAAUUUGGCCUCUGAGGGUCUUGAACAAGGCCUUGGCCAAGUCGGAGUCAUCAACCAGUUGGGCUGUGUCUUGAUGAAGGAGGGCUAAUAAUUCUUCUAACUUUGCCCUGAUCUAUGCCGAUGUGAUUCCAACUGCUCGGGAAGAACUUGCCUCCUCGCCUUCAUCUUCAGAGAUGUCGAUGGCAAAGGAGAACAAGCUGUCAGGGGAGUCCUGUUCCUGAAAGAGAAAAAACAAAAUAAGUUAUUCUAUGAUCAAGCAUUGGUAAACGAUACAGGUAGAGAUUGGGUAACUUACUUGCUUCAGGGCCAUCUCUCGCCUCUGACUGGAUGAUGCCGAUGGAACCACGGGCUGAUUGGCUGGAAUCGCCGAUGAGACUAUGUUAGCUGAAAAGAUUGACAGAAGUGAUUAGGUAAAGUGGAGAAAUAGGUUCAUUGGCAAUAAAUGGAAAAUAUAUUACCUUGAGGGGAUGCAGUACUCGUCUGGACCGAAGAAGCUAUCGAUGCUAUGGUUAGACUUGCUGGGUCAGCAGUCUGCUCGUGUACAUCAACCAAUACUUCUUCUAGCUGAGGUUCUUCUGGCUGGAGCUCUUCCACUUGAGGUUCUCCUUGUGGCUGAGGAGGAGAGGGAAUUUGCUGUGUCUGGGCUUCUGGAGAAGAAGGGGAUGAUUCUACUGGGAUUGGAGAUACUGGGGGGGGAGAAGGCGUUGCUAUUCUUUGGCGCUUUGCUUAUGAUCUGGUACUCUUGGCACCUUUUCUCUUUGGCUGGCUGGACUGGGGGGCAUCGGCAGUCGUACUUCUGGUCUUUGCCGAUGUACCAGUGUGCUGAAACAACAGUAAGAAGUUUUGUGAGUGCAAGUCUAACGGGGUAUAAGAGUAGAAUCAGUACGAGUGAAGAAGUAAAAACUUUACCUUGAAGGCUUGCGCUAAGGUAGUGGCGGCUACCGAUGGGGAUGUCUUCGUUCGCCUGGUGGUGACCUUCUUGAGACGCACACCUCGGUGCAUUAUAGCAGCCAAGGUGGGAGCGUUGUUGCCGAUUGAGGAGAUCGGACCCGAUGGAAGGAGCUCAAUCGGCUUGCCACUCCUGCUGACCGAUGGUGGUAUAUCAUCAACCUGCAUGAGAUGAAGAAAGGAGAUCGGUACGUAAGAGCCGAUCUGCAGAACAGGUGCUCUUUCCAUUCUUCCCACCAUUGUUUGUAUGCCUGAGUGAUGAAGAGGGCCGGGAUCCAAUCUGAUAAAUCGGCAUCUGUAUCGGCAUUUGGUGGCAGUUGAGCUAUUCUGGUCCACUCAAGAAGACUAGUGAUGGUUUCCCUAGGUUUUAUCACAUCGGCAUAACAAAGUGCAAUCGGUAGCUGACCGAAAGCCAGUUGACGGGCUAGUGCCGAUGGGUUGUAGAAUUCGUAGGUCUGGUUGGAGGCCUUCCCACAGCCAAAAAAGUUUACUGGUAUGGCUCUUGGGGUGAUAAGUGUCAUCAUUACAUCAUGAUCCUUAUUGAGAGCGUCGUUGAAGGGAUGGAAGACCAAAGGAAAUCUGGUGUCUGGGUCUUCAUAAGGCAUCCAUGCUCGUUGUUCUCUGGUCAGGCCCUCGUACAGAGUCUGAAAGAAUCGGCUGACCAGAUCCGUGUUACCCCCUGUGCUAGGCAAGACUAUGGUAGCCUCGCCAAAGUUCAGAGGAGGACGAGUUGCCGAUUCUUCUUCACCCAGUUCAUGAUCCUCGGCUAUAUCUCUGGGGAAACAUUGUGCAAAGAGGUCAAACCCAAGACGCUUGUGCAUAUGGAGGCUGAGCCACAUAUUGAUGAACCACCAGGGGCCACCUAAGUUGCCGAUGGGUUGGCCAAGCAGAAGUUUCCUGGCUACUUGCUGGAGAAGAUGAUAGGCAGAACCGAGCAGGUAUCGGCUGAGGGGAAAUCGGCCACCAUUAGCUAAUCUCUCUGCUGCCAAUAGGUAGACAGAGGUUGGUCCUGCCGAUCGACCGCUGAACACAAAUUUGUCCAGCCACAUGUUUAGAAAGGUGGUUUGUUCCUUUAUGUUAACAGUCCCUAUUCUAUGGUACUUCUGAAUGUAUCCAGACCAGCCGCCGAUAGAGCGGGUUUCCACCUUAGCACUAGGUGUGGUGUCAAAUAUGUGGCUACUAUCGGCAGUGGAUACAUCUAGGCCGGUGAGCAUAAGCACAUCGGCAAGGGUGGGAGAAGCAGGGCCAUGGCCGAAAACAAAGGCAUUGAGUGUGUCUGACCAGAAAUAUGAUGCGGCAAUCAGCAGUGACUCAUUCCUAUGCAUGUCGGCAAGGGACAACCUGAUGCAUUGAUCUAGUUUUCGCUCACCCCACUGAACCUCAUUUGAAUGGCUGACUCUCAAGAACCAAUCCUACCAUCCCUUGGUGGGACUGGGCCAGGAACGGAAGGCGUCUUUCCACAGAUCUAGAGAGAAGUUCUCGGCUCUAAAGGGGAUUCUGUUUGUCUCUGCGUUGAUCAGAUCGGUAGGAUCUGGGUUGCCUAGUGGACCGAGAUAUUGGAGGUGUGGUUGAUCGUUAGGGAUGACAAUUCUAUUAGAUAGAUCCUAGAGGUUUUUGGGGUGAAAGAAGAGCAAAAGAAAAAAGAAAAAGGUAUUCAGUAAGAUGAACUGCGAAUGAACAGGAGUGCGGUGAAAAUACAGGAGAGAUGGGGUGAUGAACUGACCUCAGGAAUAGCAAAGUUGAUGGCCAUCUCCUCGCAGGGAAGACGAUCGAAGACUUUGGGGUUGGUGGAGAAAGGCCUUCGUUGGAGUUCUUGGGGCUCUCGAGUAGUGCCGUCGCCAGAAAAGCAGAGUUGGGGCUGUAGAAUGAUGCGAUGGAGAAGGAGUACUCGAGAAGGAACUAUUUCUAGGACAAAAUGGGCAAGGGCAAAUCUGACUUAUCUCAUCGCCGUAUCCGUGAAAUCCGAGGAUACUCAGGUAGAUAUGGUAACUGUUCGCACGGUAAUCAAGGGAUUGUGCAGGCGAUUUGACAGGAAGCGGUCAUGAUCUGGAGAUAUUUCACUGUGCGGGAUUUCCUGGUCGGUCCAUCGGCAGCUUCCUCCAACGGUCAUAUUGCCGAUGGGCGAAUAAAGUGGGGAUGUCCGCUAUCUAGUUUGGGAGGUUGAGAAAUUCUAGGAGUCUCCGAAAGAAUCGGGCCAAGGUUGUUCGGAUUUAAUGGUCAGUUGCCAAAUUGGGAAGAUUAAUUACGGAAAGGCAUCAUUAAUGUAGAGAAUUUUGGAGCAUUAAGGAUUUCAUACUCCGAAACUGGGGGGCAUGUGUUGACACUGUUUUUUGACACGUGCACAGAAACCAGUAGAGUACAAGAUCGGCAGGCGGAGCAACGGUAACUAGACUGUAGAAGAGUUGCCGAUGAGGAAGGUUGCCGAUGGCUCCGUGGGAGUUGCCGAUUGACCCGUGGCGGUGUCCUGGUCGGUUACAAGGGGAUAGUUUUAUGUUUUCCUUAGUCGUUUAAAUUCGUUUUGUAUACGGAUUCUGUUUAAUUUGGAAUUCGAGUCUUAGUCAUGUCUAAUUGUAGCUCUUUGAGCAGGGUAUAAGUGUAGACCCUAGGGCCUUGUAAUAUGAACGAAUCAAUCAAUCAAACACAAGUUUUUUCUCAUAUUCCAGCAUCUACUUUUUUGACGACUUCGUCAUAUUUUUCCUUUUUAUUACGAGUUCUUAGGAGUUCGUCGACUUAAGCUCGGCGUAUUCUCAAGUUCCGCGUGAGCACCUCUUGGCCGUGACAUCCGGGCGUAUCGUUGUUGUCGGGACCAAAGUGUUCGAAUUACCACCUUUGCCGAUAGUAAGGUCAAAUCGGCUGGCACGCCUUAACGUUUGAAUCGGGUAUUAGCCCUUUGUGUUUGCAGAUCCAGCUUUUGCAUCAACACAUAGCUUUACGGUGGCUAGACGUACGUGUGGAGGUAAAAUUCCUCUUAAAACCACCGGCAGCAAUUGCUUCAUUAGAACGUGACAGUCAUGACACUUCAAGUUCAGGAAUUUCUUCUCUAGCACAUUAAUUAUUCCCUUGAUUUGGAGGAGAAUCCAGAUGGGACCUUGAUGCUGCUAAGACAUUCAAACAUGCUUUCCUUCUCUUCUUUGCUCAGAGUGUAGCUAGCAGGGCUUAAGUAAUGACGUCCAUCAUCUGUCUUUUCUGGAUGUGGGUUGUCUCAUUCUUUCAUGCACUGCAAAUCUUGUCGUGCUUCAAGUGAAUCCUUAGACUUCUCGUAGGCAGCCAUGAAUCUGAGCAAGUUCACACAAAGAUUCUUUGUCAGAUGCAUCAUGUCGAUCACGUUGCGGACCUCUAGGACAUUCCAGUAAGGUAGCUCCCAAAAUAUGGAUUUCUUCUUCCACAUGGGUACGUGUCCCUUACCAUCGUUGUGAAUAGGUUCGCUGCCUCGUCCCUUUCCAAAUACCACUUUUAUAUCCUUGACCAUUUCGAGUACAUCAUCCCCGGUUCGAUUGAGAGGUUUGGUCCGGUGGUCGCCUUGUCUUUGAAAUGCUUGCCUCUCUUUCGUACUGGGUGGUUCACAGGAAGAAACCGACGGUGGCCAAGGUACACGACCUUUUGACAUUUUUUCAAAAAUGCACAGUCAAGGUCUUCAUAACAAUGUGUGCAUGCAUUAUAUCCCUUGUUUGAUUGGCCUGAAAGAUUACUCAGCGCUGGCCAAUCAUUGAUUGUUACAAACAGCAAUGCUCGCAGGUCAAAGUGCUCUUGUUUGUACUCAUCCCACACGCAAAGUCCUGGUUUGCUCCAUAAAAGUUGAAGUUCCUCAACUAAUGGCCUUAGGUAGACAUCUAUGUCAUUGCCAGGUUGCUUCAGUCCUUGGAUAAGCACCGACAUCAUAAUAAACUUCCGCUUCAUGCAUAGCCAUGGAGGAAGGUUGUAGAUACAUAGAGUAACUGGCCAAGUGCUGUGACUACUGCUCUGCUCACCGAAAGGAUUCAUACCAUCUGUACUUAAGGCGAACUGCAAGUUUCUAGCAUCAUCUGCAAAAUCUGGGAAUUCUCUGUCUAUCGCUCUCCACUGGGAUCCAUCGGCAGGGUGUCUCAGCAUAUUGUCUAUCUUACGGUCUUCUUUAUGCCACCGCAACAACUUUGCAUUGUCCUUAUUUCUAAACAGACAUUUUAAUCGUGGUAUUAUAGGAGCAUACCACAUAACCUUGGCAGUAAUUUUCUUCCUAUGACGUUCUUCUCCCUCAACAUCGCCAGGAUCAUCUCGCCUAAUCUUAUACCGUGAUGCCUUACAUACUGGACACGCAUCCAAAUUCUCGUAUUCCUCCCCAUGGUAGAGGAUGCAGUCAUUAGGACAUGCGUGUAUCUUCUGGAUUUCUAAUCCCAAAGGGCAGACAACCAAUUUUGCUUCAUACGUAGUGGUGGGCAAUUCGUUGCCUUUACGAAGCAUCUUUUUUAUGAUCUUCAAUAACUGCCCAAAUGCCUUGUCAGAUGUACCAUUCUUUGCCUUCCAUUGCAGCAAUUCCAGUGUGGUACCCAGCUUUUUUUGCCCCUCUUCAGCGGUGGGAUAUAGCGAUUUCCUGUGGUCCUCUAGCAUGCGCUCGAACUUGGCUUUCUCUUUAUCACUUUCACAUUCUCUUUGUUCAUCACGGAUGGCAUCACCAAAAGCAUCAUCGCCCCGAUCAUCUUUUGCCGCAACCUCUUCUUCAUUAUCUCCCCCCAUUGCAACAUCAUUGAAGCCACCGUACUAAGCAAUAAUAUUGGCAUGGUCUAAUUCUUCUUCUUCUUCUUCACCUUCAUCCAUUAUAAUCCCGCUUUCUCCAUGUUUGGUCCAACAAAUAUAGUUUUGUACGAAACCAGACUUUAAUAAGUGCGAAUGAAGAGUUCUUGAGUUAGAAUAUUCCGUCAAAUUCUUGCACACGACACAUGGACAGCACAUGAAACCGUCUCUCUUAUUUGUCUCGGCCACACUUAAGAAAUAGUGCACGCCAUUAAUGAACUCUUCGGAGCGCCGAUCGGCAUUAUACAUCCAAUUACGUGUUACCAUCUGCAUUAAAUAUAACAUAUAUAUUAUGAAAACCCUGAACACAUAUAGUUUCUCAUCUUAUUGCACAACAUGCCUAAGAUACAUAGUUGAUUAAUUCAGGAAAGCUUGGCUACAACAAAUACAAUCGCAACGAGCACUAAAAAAACCAAAACUAAAAUGCACUUAAGCAACAUAAUUAGUUCGCGUUCGAUCCCAACUAUAAUAGAUAGAUCAUUCGCUUGAUCAACAUCAUUGAACUCCUUUCGUCGGCUCACUGCCUCACCACCUUCAGCCUCAACCACCUAUACACAAGAUUUCUUAAUGUGUUCAAUGUAUUCUUCCUCCCAGUACCAACCUGUACAUCCGCCGGUACCGUCCCACUGAAAUUAAAAGAGAGAAUCAAAAGUUUAAUUAAUAUCAUUUAAAAAAAUAUGCACAUAUAUAAGCAAAUGUCUGGAAAUAACUCACAUUACGAUCCGGACACUUGUAGAAUAUACGACCCUUGUUUACUCCCUCUUUCGACACUUUGUACU